rnacentral:lncRNA from 1 species
GCAACAAAUGGUAAGUGUGAUGUUCCCUUCACAUUCAUGCAAAGAGACACUCUUUAUAAUGGAGCCACUGUUACGACUGAAGUGCAAGGCGGCACCUUUACUGGUUCUAAUUACUACAACUUCCACUUUGAAACCAAAGAAGAGAAGAUCACGAACUGAGAAAACACUCAAAACUCCUCUUGGGCACAAUUUGGGAAUUACAAGGAUUGUACGUGUUACGUCUGUGUGUGUGUGUGUGCUGUAUCCACUAAAUAAAAUUAUGUUUCCUUGGUGGAAGCAUUGCUUUUUUUCUUAUUAUUAAACUACAAUAAACAUGUAAACUGCAUGCAUAGCCCUGUGGCAUAUCAUGUACUUUAAUUUGAGAAUAAAUAAAUUUACGUGUGGUGUUAUUUUAUGUGAUUUGGAUAUUAUUUUGUAUUUGUCUUUUAUGGUAAAGAAAUAGAUUAAAAUUGUAUAUGAUUAUAGAAACUAUUUUAUGUAUAUUUCCCUUAUUGUUUUAAUUCUAAAUUUUAUUUUGUAACUGUUUUAUUGAUUCAAAUUCUUCUAGACCUAUGCCUAUUUUUUUGAAUCAAAUCAUAUAUAAUAUUAUAUUAAAGCAUAUUCACAUGCGUGGUAAAGUUUGCUUGCAUGUAAUCUUAUGUAGACAAUUUAUAAUAUUGACACAUAAGAUAGUUCUUUAAUUGUAGUUGAUCAUCAAAUAAUCUUAUUAUUUAAAUUUAAAAGAUAUUCCAAAUCUUAAAAAAAUCAUACUUAUCCAAAUUUUUUAAGUUGAUUAAUUUAUAAUCUUUAUAUUCUUUUAAAUGAAAUAAGAUUAUUAAGAUCAAUCCAAUGAAAAAAAUAAAAAUAAAAUCUCAUUUAAAAUUAACUUGAGUAUUUUUUAUAUAAAACAUGUACAUAUUAUUUAUCUUGCAUUUGAACUAUAUAAGUACAUUGUAAAACAAUUUUAAACUUUUGGACUUCAUUUAUUUAUUUAUUUAUUAUAUGUUAGGUACAGCAUGAAUACAUUUAAAUAUUGCAUUUUUAUUAUUAUAUUUGUAAUAUAUGUUUUCAAUAGUUUUAUUUUAAAUUAAUUGAUUUUUGUAUAAUAAUCAAUAAAAAUAAAAGCUUGCAUGAAAGAUAUGUUUUGUUAUAAUUUCAUCUUGUACAAUAAAUAUAUAUUCAACUUUCACUUUAAAUUAUUUUUUAGUGUAUAAAUUAAGUUAAGAAUUAUAAAAAAGACUUUCUUUAAUAAGUUAAAUAAGAUCAUAAGUCAAUAAUAACAUAUAAUACUUAUAAUUAUUUUUUAUUUGCAUUACAAUAAUAAUUUUUUAAUGUUUUCAUAUGUCCUACGAUAUAUAAAAAAUAAUCAAAACUAAAAUAGAUGAAAUUAAUAUUUCUUAUAUAGAUGGUGAAUUUAAACUUUUGUUUGGGGUUAGGUUGACAUUAUGUAAAUAAGAUAAUAAUAUAUGACAAAAUACUCAUUAACCAAGUAAUUAAUUUUUAAUUUAAAUAUUGAUAACUUUAAAAACAAAUUAAAUUAUUGAUGUUUUUUACUAUAAAUAUGCAAAAAGAAAUAAUUAAAACAAAAAUAUUUUCCCUAAAUUUAAAAUCACAUAUAUCUCUUCUAUUUUUUAAAAUUUUUAAAUGCUUUAUUAUUUUUUAAAUUCAAAAAACACAUAUCACUUUAAGUCUAUUAAUAAUCAAUAAUUUGUUCUACAUCAUUUUUCUCCGUAUUCAAUUUUCCUUUAAGAUUUAUAUUGUUUUCGUAAUUUUAUUGUUUAUUUUAUUUAGAUGGUUUCUUCUUCCAACAUUAUUUUUAUUCAAUUUUUUUUUUUGUCAUACAUUUCUUGAUUUAUUUUUUUAAUAUUUUGAUUAAAAUCAUAAUUUAAUAAAAAUAUGUCGAUACUUCUUUUAUUAUUUAAUUGAUCAUUCAAUAUUUAUGUUCUCCUAAAAAACUAAUAUUAUAUUUAUAUUCAAUUUUUUUUUUACUUUUUGAUCCAUAUCUAAUAUCUCUUAUUUUUCACAUUUAUUUUCAACAUUUUGAUCAAGAUAAUAAUAGUAAAUUUUAAUUUUCUUAUGACAUGUUAAUUGAAUAUAUAUUUAUAUUUUAUUUUUGUCAUAAAAUUUUAAACUUAGAUAUAAUUGUAAGAAAAAUAUAAAUUUUUCAGUGUAAACACAUAUUUAAAUAAAUAAAAUAAUCCAUGCAUUGCAUGGGUUACAAACUAGUAGUGUUAUUAUUGCACUUGUUGAAAAAUUGGUGAUAAAUUUAGUUUAUCAUCUUAAAUAGAGUUAAAAUUUUAGCCCUCAUCUCAAAAUACAAAGAUAGGCCUAUAACUUAAAUUUACAUUAAUUAGACCCAAUAAUUUUAAAUUAGAUAUAAUGAUUUAAUACGGAAAAAAAAAUGAAAACGACAGGGUUAAAAUUAACAAAAACUUAUGUAUAGAUUUGAUAAAAGCUAAAAAAUAAAUUUUUAUAUCUGAUGUGUCAAAACAAAUCUUAACUCAAUAAUUUUUAUAUUUAUACAAAUCAAACAUAAUUAUAUGUAUAUACAAUUUAGUAGGACGAAUAGUAAUUACAAAAAAUAUGCAGUCAUAUGUAACUUAAAACAUAAUCCUUAAGAAAAACUGAUUAAUUAAAUCUACUUGCUUCACAAAGUCAAUCGAUAUUCCAAUUUGGUUCACAAAAUCUACUUUCAAGUUGAAAUUCUUUAAUGCACCCAAUUAAGAUAUAUCAUGAAAUUUAAUUUAUACGAAGCAAAUAUACUCUGUAUUAUUGAUACUUUGCUUUUGCUAUUUGUCUUUUAUUUUUAAUUAUUUUUUAUUUUCUCACAAUAAUUUAUUCAGAAAAAGAAAAAUAAAAAAUGAAUAGCAAAAGUAUCAAUUGAUCGAAGUCUUAAUUAGUUAUAAAAACAUAUAGUAGUAUAUAUAGUACUUGAUCAUUACUUGUUGAUUUUUUGCAUGAAGUAUAUAUUAUCAAUUUGAAUCUAUUUAAAAUAAGUCAUUUCUCUUUCAAAGCGUUAUGAUUGGUAAGAGCUACAGUAACAACCGAAAGGUGCUUCUUGAGAAGAAAUGUCUAUAGCUUAGACCAUAGCUAGACUAGGCAAUCAUGCCAACAAGCGAUAAAUCCUAGUAAAUUGCAAUAAAUCUAUGUCAAGAAUGUUUAGACCAACAAAUUUUCCUGUAAAUAGGAGAUAACAAAUUAAUGCAUGUUGUAUGAAAAUGUGAAAUUGUUUGCUAUCUGCAAAUUAUUUUUUAUGUAUUGUUUUUCCUUUCAAAAUUUUCAGCAAAGAUUCAGAAGAUUCUUUCCAGAGGGAGUAGAUAUGUAUCGUAUGUGAGUUUACACGAGAAAGCAUGCAUUCUAUGUCAGCAACAAACAAGCCAUGACAUUCUUCACAAUAAUAGAUGUGGUUUUCUGAAAAUCUUUCUUCCUCGCAAAAAUCGUAAUAAUAUUCUACUGAUACAUCCUCAACAAAUGAAUCCUUAAUAAUAAGUGGCUGAAUGUGAUGUUCUGCACAUUCAGACGAAACCUUAUGUCAGCCUCUGUGCAGAAAUAGAAGGGCUCGGUACAAAUUUCGAGACAUCUAAACAUGAAAAGCCUGUAUAGAUCAAUUUGAAUUAUAUACAUCAAACCGAAUUUGGCAACUGCCCCAAAAUAUAAAAAUGAAUUAUGUGAGCAUUCGAAAGUAACGUUUUAGAGGCUGACUCAAAGUAUUAAGGCAUGUAGGAUGGAGAUGUAAAUGACAGUCGAAACAACUAUAGCUGAUGCCAACGAAUUCGAAAGUGCAGGCAUGGCAGAUUUUGGUAGAGUGUCGACCAAAUGAAGCGGGUGUGGUCAUGCAUCUUUUUUGGAAAUCGAAGACAAGAUUCAUGUAAGGCAUAAAUAUCAUCGCAUUCUAGGAUAACAAUAAGCCAGCCAGACCAAAGAUUGUUAGUUAGCAAUAACUGCAGUCCACCUUCCUUGCAUUGUCAAGUAUCAGCAUGUGCUCAUGACUGAAAUGGGAUAGCAUGUUUUUUUUCUUUUUUUUCUCCACCUUGUCUUUUAGCCUUGGGCUUUGAUUUCUAGGCGUACUGACCAAUCUUGCACAUUCACAUCGAGCUUGAACUAACACUCGAAGCAGAUGUAAACGAAACCAUCCGAAAUGUCCCCCAAAUUCAUCGCAUAUAAAGCGCUUUGAUUUGUUUAAAGGAGAUUCAGUAGAAGGUUUAGAGGAUCGGUGCUGGGGAAGAAGAGGAUGAAACACCUCAGGGACAAAUACAAUUCAGUGCAUGUUUUGUUUAGGUAAUGUCCACUUUCUUUACAGAUAUAGGCUGGACUACAAAUUUCCAUCUUGGAAGCCUGGAAGCCAGGAUUUUGAUCAUCUUCCUCAAGUACCUCAUGAAAAUUCAACGGGACUAUGGUUGAAAUGUUGAAUUUGCAUCUGAAAUUAACACACACACACACACACACACACGCAAAAAGAAAGAAAAAAGGAGACAGUUAUUCUGUUUUGAGUUACUAUGUUGAGAAAGGAAUAAUAGUUUUUGUACACAAGCAUUCAACCUAAAAUCAAUUGAGAAGCCUAUUUGAUUUAAGGCAAGUGGACUGUCUCUUUAAAACAAUCUGAUCAAUUAUUGUUUGAAUUGCUCUAUGCAACAUAGCUUGUAAAGCCAUUUUUGUACAUUACAGUAGUAUCAUCAAAUUGCCUCAAGAGUUGGGGGAAAAUUAUACCGUUGUCUGUGAUGCUGCACCGUAAGUUGUCGAUUGUUGUAAAUACUAGUAUCAAUUUUUUCACAAACCUCAAAUGAAAAUUCUGGAUUGCCCUGCCCUGAUUCAUCUUGUUCCAUCACUUUCUCCACCGAAACUUCGCCAUCCACCUUGUGGGAGGUCGCCGCAUGGUCAAAUUUCGUUUUUAUAAGUUAUUUCUUCAUGUUUUUAUCCUUAACCCAUAAAUCUUCUUUACUUAACUCAAAAUAAAACGAUAUUAUGCGUUUAACAUCUCUUGAACUCUCAUCCUCUAAAAAACUAAUUAAUUAGCAUUUAUGCUAUCUAAACUAAUUCUUAGUUAACCUAAACUAAUCAUCAUAUUAAUAAUAUAUAUGUAUAGGAUACUGCCUACAUUAAUCUUCCGCAUGUGGUCUCUAGCUUAGGUUACUGGUUUAAAAUUCAUCUUGCAUAUCGAGAAGCCCCUUUUAAUAGACAUAUAUAACCAUUGCCUGAGUGUUGUACACAAGCGUAACAGCUCCAUGGUUGGCACGGAAGCUUAUGUCGCUGAACAAUAUGAAAAUAAAAAAUAAUAGAGGGAAAAUUUCUGCUUAAUCUUUAUAGCUUUUAAUGAAUUAAAAUUGGAAUGACGUACAAAUAGGUGGUGGUUUUUUUUUUUUAAAUAAAUGGUAAUUUUAUUUACCAAGAAGUAGGGAAAAUAAAAUUUGCUAUCAAAAAAUUGUACAUUCACCAAUUAUAAAUCAGGACGAAUGGAUAACAACUAUAUUAUAUGUCUAACAAAACUAAAUUUGUAUUCGAAUGUAGUAUCCAAUUGAGUCAAAAUUAUAUAAUCAGAAUCAACAGAUUCAACAAUACAAUAAAACACGUUUUUAAUAGUUAAUGUUUUCUACUUAUAUUUUUUAGUGUUACGUUCAAUUCAUAUGAAAUAAAUGUACACGUGUCAUGGAUCGAAACUUAAAUUCCGAAUCCGCAUGAUUUUGGGAUUCGGGUAUUCACCCUUCUAGUGUCUCGGAUUAGUCUACCUGUCAUGUUCAUACCCUCGUGAGAUAUUAUCAUCUUUGACUCUAAUGAUCUCACAGUUUUGUCCUACAAAAUGCACCUCACAAAGAAGAGGUAGUGUGAACCCUUUUAGACUCCAGUGACCAUUUUAUUAUAUUCGAUAUAUUCGAUAUGAGAUUUAAAACUCUUUCUUAACUCCUUGAUAUACGCACUAAAUAAUUCUUUUCAAGUUAAAUGGAGAUGUGGGUUUCUAGAAUUUAAACCUCCUGUAAUGGCUUUCAAGUAAAAAAAGUUAUUUUAUUGGAAAAUUAGAGAAAGGAUGUUCACGCAAACAAGGUAACUUAAAACUGAGUGAGUAAAAGAUUAAGUGUGAUCUGAUUUUGGAUCUAAACUAAGACUGAUCAGAACUACGUUAGUAGGACAUUAUCUCUUUGUCGUUACAAUAAACCGUACGUUAUAAAGGGACACUCUUUAUAACGGGACUACUGUCACAAAUGAGUUGCCAGGUACAAUAUCGACUUUCAAACCAAAGAAGAGAAGAUCCCAAAUUUAAGAAUAAAUAAAUGCAUCUGUGGUAUGAUUUUAUAUGAUUUAGAGAUUGCCUUGUAUUUGUCUUAUGGUAAAAAAAAAAGAUUAAAAUUGUAAAUUUAGCAAAUUAAAUAUGAAAUAGAUUAAAAUCUAGUAAAGAAACGAAGUAAAAUAAUUUGUGCUUAGGUUCGUGGCAUUCAAAGGAAAUAAUGAUAACUAUCUGUGUCUUCGUCAGAUCGAGGGUCACCCAUAUUUGCAGUUUGCAACUGAUGAUAUUGGCGAUUCAACUGUGGCAUGCGAGAUUUUCGUUGUUGACGACGGAAAUGUCCGCAUCAAGUCCAUUUCUUCCAAUAAAUUUUGGAAGCGCAACCCGAAUUGGAUUUGGGCCGAGUCUGAUGACACGAGCAGCAACAACAAGGAUAACUCGCUUCGCCCUGUCAAAGUUGACAAUAAGACAAUAGGUCUUCUCAACUUGGGCAACAAAAAUUUCUGCAAACCCUCACACUCGAAGGAAAGACGAACUGCCUUAAUGCAGCCGUCUCCAAUAUUACUGAACAGGCCCAGCUAACGGUGGAAGAGUCUGUCUUGACGAGAAAAAUUUAUAAUGUCAAAUAUGAUCUUGAUAAUUUCUACCAAAGUAUCCUCUCCGUGGCCAAGAAUUCUGCUAGUAACUAUACCCAGAAAUCCACCACUUAAGACGUGAAGCUUUCGCAUACAGAUACCACAUUUAGAACUUGGAGGAAUAGGUUUUCACUAAAGUUAGGUAUGAAAACCACCUUGGACGUUGGAAUUCCACUCAUUUCGAAUGGAGAGAGAAUUAUCAAACAGGUGUGGAGUGGGGAGAGACCAAGAGCUCGGCAACUGUUCUGGAAGUUAUGCACAAAGUUGUUGUGCCUCCAAUGACUAAGGUGACAGUGGAUGUAAUUCCAACAAAUGGUAAGUGUGAUGUUCCCUUCACAUACACACAAAGGGACACUCUUUAUAACGGAACUACUGUCACAACUGAAGUGCAAGGUGACACUUACACUGGUUCUUUAUAACUACAACAUCCACUUUCAAACCAGAUCAGAGAGUAUCACGAAUUGAGAAAACACUCAAAACUCAACUGGUGCAAAAGCAAGGAAUUACAAGGAUUGUGUGCAUCCACUAAAUAAAAUAAUGUUUCCUUCAUGGAAGCAAUGUCCGUUUUCUUGUUAUUAAUCUAUAAUCAAUAUGUAUACUGCAUGCAUAGCCCUGUGGCAUUUCAUGUCCUUUAAUUUGAGAACAAAUAAAUUCCUGUUUGAUGUAAAUUUAUGUAUUUGGAGAUCAUCUCGUAUUUGUCUCUGUGGUAAAGAAUAAACGAAUUGAUUAAAACAAAAAGAAGAUUAAAAUUUGAAGAUUUAGCACAUUAAAUAUAAAAUAGAUUAAAAUGUGGUAAAGAAAAUGAAGUAAAAAAAUUUAGAAAAUCCAUUAGAAGUGAAAUUGUUAUUAACAAUUAUUGUACUCGAGGCUCAAACAAAAUUAAUUGGUAUUAUCUUGUCAAAACAUGCUGUGAGUUACACUUUUUUUAGAGCAUUGAAAAUUAUUAUAGAAACUAUUUUAUGUAUAUUUCCCUUAUUAUUUUAAUUCUAAAUUUUAUUUUGUAACUGUUUUAUUGAUUCAAAUUCUUCUAGACCUAUGCCUAUUUUUUUGAAUCAAAUCAUAUAUAAUAUUAUAUUAAAGCAUAUUCACAUGCCUGGUAAAGUUUGCUUGCAUGUAAUCUUAUGUAGACAAUUUAUAGUAUUGACACAUAAAUAUAUAAUCAACUUUCACUUUAAAUUAUUUUUUAGUGUAUAAAUUAAGUUAAGAAUUAUAAAAAAGACUUUCUUUAAUAAGUUAAAUAAGAUCAUAAGUCAAUAAUAACAUAUAAUACUUAUAAUUAUUUUUUAUUUGCAUUACAAUAAUAAUUUUUUAAUGUUUUCAUAUGUCCUACGAUAUAUAAAAAAUAAUCAAAACUAAAAUAGAUGAAAUUAAUAUUUCUUAUAUAGAUGGUGAAUUUAAACUUCUGUUUGGGGUUAGGUUGACAUUAUGUAAAUAAGAUAAUAAUAUAUGACAAAAUACUCAUUAACCAAGUAAUUAAUUUUUAAUUUAAAUAUUGAUAACUUUAAAAACAAAUUAAAUUAUUGAUGUUUUUUACCAUAAAUAUGCAAAAAGAAAUAAUUAAAACAAAAAUAUUUUCCCUAAAUUUAAAAUCACAUAUAUCUCUUCUAUUUUUUAAAAUUUUUAAAUGCUUUAUUAUUUUUUAAAUUCAAAAAACACAUAUCACUUUAAGUCUAUUAAUAAUUAAUAAUUUGUUCUACAUCAUUUUUCUCCGUAUUCAAUUUUCCUUUAAGAUUUAUAUUGUUUUCGUAAUUUUAUUGUUUAUUUUAUUUAGAUGGUUUCUUCUUCUAACAUUAUUUUUAUUCAAUUUUUUUUGUUUGUCAUACAUUUCUUGAUUUAUUUUUUUAAUAUUUUGAUUAAAAUCAUAAUUUAAAAAAAAUAUGUCGAUACUUCUUUUAUUAUUUAAUUGAUCAUUCAAUAUUUAUGUUCUCCUAAAAAACUAAUAUUAUAUUUAUAUUCAAUUUUUUUUUUACUUUUUGAUCCAUAUCUAAUAUCUCUUAUUUUUCACAUUUAUUUUCAACAUUUUGAUCAAGAUAAUAAUAGUAAAAUUUAAUUUUUCUUAUGACAUGUUAAUUGAAUAUAUAUUUAUAUUUUAUAUUUAUCAUAAAAUUUUAAACUUAGAUAUAAUUGUAAGAAAAAUAUAAAUUUUUCAGUGUAAACUCAUAUUUAAAUAAACAAAAUAAUCCAUGUAUUGCAUGGGUUACAAACUAGUAGUGUUAUUAUUGCACUUGUUGAAAAAUUGGUGAUAAAUUUAGUUUAUCAUCUUAAAUAGAGUUAAAAUUUUAGCUCUCAUCUCAAAAUACAAAGAUAGGCCUAUAACUUAAAUUUACAUUAAUUAGACCCGAUAAUUUUAAAUUAGAUAUAAUGAUUUAAUACGAAAAAAAAAAAAAGAAAACGCCAAGGUUAAAAUUAACAAAAACUUAUAUAUAGAUUUGAUAAAAGCUAAAAAAAUAAAUUUUUUAUAUCUGAUGUGUCAAAACAAAUCGUAACUCAAUAAUUUUUAUAUUUAUACAAAUCAAACAUAAUUAUAUGUAUAUACAAUUUAGUAGGACGAAUAGUAAUUACAAAAAAUAUGCAGUCAUAUGUAACUUAAAACAUAAUCCUUAAGAAAAACUGAUUAAUUAAAUCUACUUGCUUCACAAAGUCAAUCGACAUUUCAAUUUGGUUCACAAAAUCUACUUUCAAGUUGAAAUUCUUUAAUGCACCCAAUUAAGAUAUAUCAUGAAAUUUAUUUUAUACGAAGCAAAUAUACUCCGUAUUAUUGAUACUUUGUUUUUGCUAUUUGUCUUUUGUUUUUAAUUAUUUUUUGUUUUCUCACAAUAAUUUAUUCAGAAAAAAAAAAUAAAAAAUGAAUAGCAAAAGUAUCAAUUGAUCGAAGUCUUAAUUAGUUAUAAAAACAUAUAGUAGUAUAUAUAGUACUUGAUCAUUACUUGUUGAUUUUUUGCAUGAAGUAUAUAUUAUCAAUUUGAAUCUAUUUAAAAUAAGUCAUUUCUCUUUCAAAGCGUUAUGAUUGGUAAGAGCUACAGUAACAACCGAAAGGUGCUUCUUGAGAAGAAAUGUCUAUAGCUUAGACCAUAGCUAGACUAGGCAAUCAUGCCAACAAGCGAUAAAUCCUAGUAAAUUGCAAUAAAUCUAUGUCAAGAAUGUUUAGACCAACAAAUUUUCCUGUAAAUAGGAGAUAACAAAUUAAUGCAUGUUGUAUGAAAAUGUGAAAUUGUUUGCUAUCUGCAAAUUAUUUUUUAUGUAUUGUUUUUCCUUUCAAAAUUUUCAGCAAAGAUUCAGAAGAUUCUUUCCAGAGGGAGUAGAUAUGUAUCGUAUGUGAGUUUACACGAGAAAGCAUGCAUUCUAUGUCAGCAACAAACAAGCCAUGACAUUCUUCACAAUAAUAGAUGUGGUUUUCUGAAAAUCUUUCUUCCUCGCAAAUAUCGUAAUAAUAUUCUACUGAUACAUCCUCAACAAAUGAAUCCUUACUAAUAAGUGGCUGAAUGUGAUGUUCUGCACAUUCAGACGAAACCUUAUGUCAGCCUCUGUGCAGAAAUAGAAGGGCUCGGUACAAAUUUCGAGACAUCUAAACAUGAAAAGCCUGUAUAGAUCAAUUUGAAUUAUAUACAUCAAACCGAAUUUGGCAACUGUCCCAAAAUAUAAAAAUGAAUUAUGUGAGCAUUCGAAAGUUAUGUUUUAGAGGCUGACUCAAAGUAUUAAGGCAUGUAGGAUGGAGAUGUAAAUGACAGUCGAAACAACUAUAGCUGAUGCCAACGAAUUCGAAAGUGCAGGCAUGGCAGAUUUUGGUAGAGUGUCGACCAAAUGAAGCGGGUGUGGUCAUGCAUCUUUUUUGGAAAUCGAAGACAAGAUUCAUGUAAAGCAUAAAUAUCAUCGCAUUCUAGGAUAACAAUAAGCCAGCCAGACCAAAGAUUGUUAGUUAGCAAUAACUGCAGUCCACCUUCCUUGCAUUUGUCAAGUAUCAGCAUGUGCUCAUGACUGAAAUGGGAUAGCAUUUUUUUUUUUUUUUCUCCACCUGUCUUUUAGCCUUGGCUUUGAUUUCUAGCGUACUGACCAAUCUUGCACAUUUCACAUCGAGCUUGACUAACACUCGAAGCAGAUGUAAACGAAACCAUCCGAAAUGUCCCCCAAAUUCAUCGCAUAUAAAGCGCUUUGAUUUGUUUAAAGGAGAUUCAGUAGAAGGUUUAGAGAUCGAGUGCUGGGGAAGAAGAGGAUGAAACACCUCAGGGACAAAUAAAUUCAGUGCAUGUUUGUUUAGGUAAUGUCCAUUUCUUUACAGAUAUAGCUGACUACAAAUUUUCCAUCUUGGAAGCCUGGAAGCCAGGAUUUUGAUCAUCUUCCUCAGUACCUCAUGAAAAUUCAACGGGACUAUGUUGAAAUGUUGAAUUUGCAUCUGAAAUUAACACACACACACACACACACACACGCGCAAAAAGAAAGAAAAAAGGAGACAGUUAUUCUGUUUUGAGUUACUAUGUUUGGAAAAGAAUAAUAGUUUUUGUACACAAGCAUUCAACCUAAAAUCAAUUGAGAGGCCUAUUUGAUUUAAGGCAAGUGGACUGUCUCUUUAAAACAAUCUGAUCAAUUAUUGUUUGAAUUGCUCUAUGCAACAUAGCUUGUAAAGCCAUUUUUGUACAUUACAGUAGUAUCAUCAAAUUGCCUCAAGAGUUGGGGGAAAAUUAUACCGUUGUCUGUGAUGCUGCACCGUAAGUUGUCGAUUGUUGUAAAUACUAGUAUCAAUUUUUUCACAAACCUCAAAUGAAAAUUCUGGAUUGCCCCGCCCUGAUUCAUCUUGUUCCAUUACUUUCUCCACCGAAACUUCGCCAUCCACCUUGUGGGAGGUCGCCGCAUGGUCAAAUUUCGUUUUUAUACGUUAUUUCUUCAUGUUUUUAUCCUUAACCCAUAAAUCUUCUUUACUUAACUCAAAAUAAAACGAUAUUAUGCGUUUAACAUCUCUUGAACUCUCAUCCUCUAAAAAACUAAUUAAUUAGCAUUUAUGCUAUCUAAACUAAUUCUUAGUUAACCUAAACUAAUCAUCAUAUUAAUAAUAUAUAUGUAUAGGAUACUGCUACAUUAAUCUUCCGCAUGUUGUUCUAGCUUAGGUUACUGGUUAAAAUUCAUCUUGCUUAUCGAGAGCCCCUUUUAAUAGACAUAUAUACCAUUACCUGAGUGUUGUACACAAGCGUAACAGCUCCAUGGUUGGCACGGAAGCUUAUGUCGCUGAACAAUAUGAAAAUAAAAAAUAAUAGAGGGAAAAAUUUCUGCUUAAUUUUAUAGCUUUUAAUGAAUUAAAAUUGGAAAUGACGUACAAAUAGGUGUGGUUUUUUUUUUAAAUAAAUUUGAUUUUAUUUACCAAGAAGUAGGGAAAUACAAAUUUGCUAUCAAAAAAUUGUACAUUCACCAUUAUAAAUCAAGACGAAUGGAUAACAACUAUAUUAUAUGUCUAACAAAACUAAAUUUGUAUUCGAAUAUAGUAUUCAAUUGAGUCAAAAUUAUAUAAUCAGAAUCAACAAAUUUAACAAUACAAUAAAACACGUUUUUAAUAGUUAAUGUUUUCUACUUAUAUAUUUUAGUGUUACGUUCAAUUCAUAUGAAAUAAAUGUGCAUGUGUCACGGAUCGAUACUUAAAUUUCGAACCCGCAUGAUUUUAGGAUUCGGACAUUCAUCCUUCUGGUGUCUCGAAUUAGCCUACCUGUCAUGUUCAUACCCUCAUGAGGUAUUAUCAUAUCUGAUUCUCAUGACCUUACGGUUUUGUCCUACAAAAUGCACCUCACAAAGAAAAGGUAGUGUGAACCCUUUUAGACUCCAGUGACCUUCUUAUUAUAUUUGAUGUGAGAUUUAAAACUAUUCCUUAAGUCCGUGACAUACGCACUAAACAAUUAUUUUCAAGUUAAAUGGAGACGUGGGUUUCUAGAAUUUAAACCUCCUUUAAUGGCUUUCAAGUAAAAAAAAUUAUUUUAUUGGAAAAUUAGAGAAAGGAUGUUCACGCAAACAAGGCAACUUAAAACUGAGUGAGUAAAAGAUUAAGUGUGAUCUGAUUUUGGAUCUAAACUAAGACUGAUCAGAGCUACGUUAGUAGGACAUUAUCUCUUUGUCGUUACAAUAAAUCGUAAAUUUUAAAAAAAUUAUAUUAAAUUUAAAAAUCAAUAAUCAAGAGAGAUUAUUAAAAAUGAGAUCCAAAUUUAAAUUUUACAAAAAAAAAUUGAAAUUUUAUCAAUACAAUGAGUCAAAUUAAGAACAUAUUAUCAUUGUGGGCCACUUCCAUUUUUUAAGUACAAAAAAAAUUAUUUAAAAAUAAAAAAUUAUAUUUAUUAAAAUUUGAAUUUAAAAAUAAUAUUUAAAAAAAAUAAUUAUAUUAAUCAGCUUAAGUAAAUUUCAAAUUUCAUUCUACCCAUCUAAAACAACUCUCCCAAACUUUAUUAUUCCCAAAGGAAAUAACUGAUCUUCAUGUAGGUAUCACCCGAAAACUCUUCCCAUGCUUUGUCUCCAAAAUACAACCUGACGAAAUGCCGACACGUGCGUACGCUACAAAAUAAGGGCAAAUGCAUACUCUUAAGGAAAAUAUGUUAUACGCUUUUUUUUAAUUCUUUAAAAAUACUUAGUGUUUUUUAAUUUAAAAAAGUAUAUUUAUUCUUAAAUUUUCAAAAUAUCAUUUUAUUUUACAAAAAAUAUUGUUUUGAGAUAUUAAUUUAUAUUUGAUAUACUAUUAAUGUAUCAAUACUAUACAUUAUAAUAGAAUCACACAAUGAUACCUUAUAAAAAAUUAAUUAGAAAUGUAUUUUAAAAUUAAAUUUAUUUGCUUUUUAAAAAUUUAAAUUUUCAAAAUUAAUUUUAAUUAAAUAUCAUUAUAUUUAUAUGAUUCAUUAACUAUUAUAAAUUUUACUGUGCAUCGAAUAUAAUGUAUCAAAUAUAAUGUUACAAAUAAGUGUAUAUAGUACAUCCUACUCUAAAAUCUCUAUCCUGAAGGUGUGUAGAAAUUUCAUACGCACGUUUCAAAUGCACUCUCCAUCAUCCAAUUCCAAAGGAGCAAGAAAUUUUGGAUAUAAAUAGCUAGCCUAUGAGGUUGUGGUAAGCAAUCACAAGAGUGAAACAAAGCAAGAGAGCAAACUAAUAGUUACUUGGUAGAGAUCAUCAAUUCAAAUUCAAAUUAAAGAAAGAGAGCUGCCGAAAAUGAACUUGAUAUUGCCAAGAUUUAUCGUCCUCAAAUCCAAUGACAAGAACGAUUAUCUGGGCUACAUCCAUGAAGAUGGGGAGUCUGAUGGGGUAUCUCAGCUUCAAGGAACUCAAGCUGUGAGUCCCAUACGCAAAUUUGAAGUGGAGAUUGUUGGCAAAGAUGGCUUGGUGCACAUAAGCAGAUGUCAGAACAACAAAUACUGGGUACGAACCAAAAAUCUUUCCAUCAGAGGAAAUCCAUUGGAGCAGUACUUCUGGAUUACUGCAACCGCCAACAAGGAGGAGGAAGACCAAUCCGAGGAGUCAUGCACAUUGUUCAAGUUUAUCUGUGUAGACCCCGUAAAAACUACGGUUCGAAUCAAGCAUGUCCAAUCAGGAUGCUAUUUAUGCUUAUGGCAGAUUAGUAAUCCAGCAUUUCCUCGCUGCGUGAUGGCCAACUACACAUUAUGUGAUAGUAAUAGUUGUGAUAUCUUCACAAUCAUUGAUUGGGAGCCUUUGUUGAUUCUGCCUAGGUACGUGGCAUUCAAAGGACAUAAUGAUAGUUAUUUAUGUCUUCGUCAGAUCGAGGGUCACCCAUAUACGCAGUUUGCAACUGAUGAUAUUGGUGAUUCAACUGUGGCAUGUGAGAUUUUCGUUACUGACGACAGAAACGUCCGCAUCAAUCCUACUUCUUCCAAUAAAUUUUGGAGGGCAACCCGACUUGGAUUUGGUCGGAUUCCGAUGACACUAGCAGCAACACCAAGGACACCUUGUUUCGCUCCGUCAAAGUUGACAAUAAAACAAUAGGUCUUCUCAACUUGGGCAAUUAUAAUUUCUGCAACCGCCUCACACUCGAAUGAAAGACGAACUGCCUAAAUGCAGCCGUCCCUUCUGUUACUAAAGAGGCCCAGCUAACAGUGGAAGAGCCUGUCUUGACGAGGAACAUUUAUAAUGUCAAAUAUGAUCUCGAUAAUUCCAGGAUCUACGAUGAAACAGAUCUUCCUGUGGCCAAGAAUUACAGUAACUAUACCCAGGAAUCCACCACUUUAGACGUGAAGCUUUCCUAUACAGAUACCAGGACUAGUACUUGGAAGACUAUGUUUUCACUAAAGUUAGGCGUGACAUCCACCUUCGACGUUGGCCUUCCACUCAUUUUGAGGGAAAUAUUGAAUUAUCUGGUGAAAUUCAAUCAGGUGUCGAGUGGGGAGAGACCAAGACGUCAACCACUGUUUUGGAAGUUGUACACAAAGUUGUUGUGCCUCCAAUGACUAAGGUGACGGUACAUCUUAUUGCAACAAAUGUUAAGUGUGAUGUUCCCUUCACAUACAUGCAAAGGGACACUCUUUAUAACGGGACUACUGUCACAAAUGAGUUGCCAGGUACAAUAUCGACUUUCAAACCAAAGAAGAGAAGAUCCCAAAUUUAAGAAUAAAUAAAUGCAUCUGUGGUAUGAUUUUAUAUGAUUUAGAGAUUGCCUUGUAUUUGGCUUAUGGUAAAAAAAAAGAUUAAAAUUGUAAAUUUAGCAAAUUAAAUAUGAAAUAGAUUAAAAUCUAGUAAAGAAACGAAGUAAAAUAAUUUGUGCUUAGGUUCGUGGCAUUCAAAGGAAAUAAUGAUAACUAUCUGUGUCUUCGUCAGAUCGAGGAUCACCCAUAUUUGCAGUUUGCAACUGAUGAUAUUGGCGAUUCAACUGUGGCAUGCGAGAUUUUCGUUGUUGACGACGGAAAUGUCCGCAUCAAGUCCAUUUCUUCCAAUAAAUUUUGGAAGCGCAACCCGAAUUGGAUUUGGGCCGAGUCUGAUGACACGAGCAGCAACAACAAGGAUAACUCGCUUCGCCCCGUCAAAGUUGACAAUAAGACAAUAGGUCUUCUCAACUUGGGCAACAAAAAUUUCUGCAAACCCUCACACUCGAAGGAAAGACGAACUGCCUUAAUGCAGCCGUCUCCAAUAUUGCUGAACAGGCCCACCUAACGGUGGAAGAGUCUGUCUUGACGAGGAAAAUUUAUAAUGUCAAAUAUGAUCUUGAUAAUUUCUACCAAAGUAUCCUCUCCGUGGCCAAGAAUUCUGCUAGUAACUAUACCCAGAAAUCCACCACUUAAGACGUGAAGGUUUCGCAUACAGAUACCACAUUUAGAACUUGGAGGAAUAGGUUUUCACUAAAGUUAGGUAUGAAAACCACCUUGGACGUUGGAAUUCCACUCAUUUCGAAUGGAGAGAGAGAAUUAUCAAACAGGUGUGGAGUGGGGAGAGACCAAGAGCUCGACAACUGUUCUGGAAGUUAUACACAAAGUUGUUGUGCCUCCAAUGACUAAGGUGACAGUGGAUGUAAUUCCAACAAAUGGUAAGUGUGAUGUUCCCUUCACAUACACACAAAGGGACACUCUUUAUAACGGAACUACUGUCACAACUGAAGUGCAAGGUGACACUUACACUGGUUCUUUAUAACUACAACAUCCACUUUCAAACCAGAUCAGAGAGUAUCACGAAUUGAGAAAACACUCAAAACUCAACUGGUGCAAAAGCAAGGAAUUACAAGGAUUGUGUGCAUCCACUAAAUAAAAUAAUGUUUCCUUCAUGGAAGCAAUGUCCGUUUUCUUGUUAUUAAUCUAUAAUCAAUGUGUAUACUGCAUGCAUAGCCCUGUGGCAUUUCAUGUCCUUUAAUUUGAGAACAAAUAAAUUCCUGUUUGAUGUAAAUUUAUGUAUUUGGAGAUCAUCUCGUAUUUGUCUCUGUGGUAAAGAAUAAAAGAAUUGAUUAAAACAAAAAGAAGAUUAAAAUUUGAAGAUUUAGCACAUUAAAUAUAAAAUAGAUUAAAAUGUGGUAAAGAAAAUGAAGUAAAAAAAUUUAGAAAAUCCAUUAGAAGUGAAAUUGUUAUUAACAAUUAUUGUACUCGAGGCUCAAACAAAAUUAAUUGGUAUUAUCUUGUCAAAACAUGCUGUGAGUUUGGUUGAGAACAUGCUCGCAUGCAGACGAUAAAUCCUUUUCUUGGAAGCCAAUGUCGAAUCGGUGGUUGUGGUAAAGAAGAUGCUGACUUGUUUGGAGUUAGCCAACCAUUGAAAGGAGGCCGAAUAGAUUGUUGGAUUGGGCCAACCAUCGAAAAAUAAACCGACCCACUAGCUUUAAUAAAUUUGCCAUUGAAGACAACAUUGGAGGCAACCUACAAUUCAACAGUUUUGGGUAAAAAAAAAUCAAUUUCAUUAAAUUUCAUUAAAUUUAGGACAAGGAUUUUCAUUAAUCAUGAUCUUAUCCCAAAUUUUAAGAAAAAAUAAUAUCAAAGCAUGAGUAAAAUAAUCAUGCACCAAAAUACUGAAUCAAAUGCUAAAAUGUUUUUAAUUUUUUUUUUUAAUCACAAGCUUACAUGAUAGAAAAUAAUCUUAUUUGGUUCUUUCACCCAACCAUCUGACCUUAAAGCUCAUUGCAAGCAAACUUAAGCCUCCAUUUUCUAUCUUAUAUGGGGUUUUCAUUUUUCUCUAUCCCUUCAAUAGGAAAGCAAAUUAUCACAACAAUGAUUGAAGUAGAAUAGAUCUGAGUAAUAAAUUUCAUGUUAGAUCAGACAACCAUUAUUAUCAAUAUUUUUUUUAUUUAUAUUCAUUUCACUUGCCUGAACAAAAGGAAUCUUUGAAAAAUGGAAAGGACAAAACCAAAUUUCUCAAAUCCCAAGUUUCAUGUUGGGGGAGAUCUUAAAGAAAGAGGCUUUUCCAUCCUCCAUUUCAGUUAAUUAAAGCCAAUAAUUUCAAAGAUAUUUAGUUAGUUAACCAUUUUUUUUCAAUUAAGAAGCCUGCCUAAGAAUAAAUUUAUAUAUGCUUUGUCUUGAGCUGCUUCAAAGUCAUUAGAAACCAAAAUGCCAGUCAAAUUUGGUUAUAGAACAUGGUUCAUUCACCUUAUUGCAAAGACAUUUCCCACACCUCCAUGUUUUGACUAUCAAUAGGAAUGCUUUUUUUAUGUUCCAUUUUCUUUUUGGUUUAAUGUCACUGAAUUCCAUACUAAAUAUAAUGACAUUAUUUUAUAUCUAUGUACAUAAUUUUUUCUUGUACAAAAAAAAAGUGUGGAGAAGCUAUCUCACUUCAAGAUCAAAAUAUAUCAUAGACUUAAAUUCAACAAUGAAUUACAUUAAAUUUACAAAUCAUUCAAAAAAAAAAUAAUUGGCAACGAAAACAAAAUUUAAAUCGUACAAGCGAAGAAUUAUCAACUCAAUCAAAACCAUUAACCUAUUUACAUAAUUUUGAAUCUCUUUAUUUAUUAUCAAAUAAUUAUGAAUCAUAUAUAUCAUUUUUCAAUAAUUGUGUAUAACUCGAGUGUUAAAAGAAAAGGAAUUUUGUAGUAAAUGUAAUGUGUUUAUAUUGAAAAUUCAGAUUUUCAAUAAUUUUAUAUUAAAUAUAAUAUUGACAACUCUAUUCAUGAUUUUCAAUAUAUUCAAUGAAAAUAUUAUUUUUAUAAUAAUUUUAAAAUUUUCAAAAUAAUUCUAAGGUCCACACUUGUCUACAACUUGCAAUAAAAAUAUACAAAAUCAGCAAUGAAAAUUAACUAAAAAAAAAAAGUAAUGAUUGAUUCUUAAAUGUUUCCUUUGCACAUGGCCUUGCUCUGCCUUAUCACUUUGUUCAUGGAUCUUGUUUAUUUGUCUCCUCAACCAAUUACAAAAACAUUAUAAAAUUUAUGAAAUAAUAAUAAUAAAAAGUAUACAUAAUUCAGAGAAUCUUUUCAUACAUUACAUUGAAAAAAAUACAUGCAAUAAUAUUACAAAAUAGAGUGAAAAAAAAAAAAAAAACACUCAUGACAACUAAAAACAUUAAUAUUUUUAAGAAAUUAUUAAACAAGCCAUUGACAAUAAAACAGGGUUACACAGAAGAAAAGCAAAGUCUUAUUGAUUUCCUAUUAUUUGAUUUCUUGUCCAUUAAUAAAUCUCCCAAUAUAUUCCUCAUAAUUUUUUUUUUCUUCAUGCUGAUGAACACAUUCAAACUCCCUACUCAAUCCCUAUACUCGAGCCGGUUUGCCGCUCUGUUUUUUAUCUUUGUAACGUUUGAUUUCAACUGAGAUUGUUGUUUGUGAAACUGCUUCAACUUCUGUUCUUGCACUUCUCUACUGCUCUUGGAGCUGCAAAUUCUAUGAAAAUCAAAUCAAUAAUUAAGAUUGAACAGUCAUGAUUAUAUAGAAUUAAUAGUUACUAACCAAGUCCAAUUGUCUCAGAUCCUUUCAUGAUUCUCAGUCGUUUGCAUGAAUCAACGAACAUCCUAUAAAUUUAGCAAAAAAAAAUAUAAAUUAGUAAGAUUUAAUCAUAAAAUAAAUAUGCCAAUUAAUUAGAAAAUGUAAAAUUGAAGUUAAAAACUUUCUCCCAUGGGACAUCACCAACAAGCAUCCAAUCUCCAUCUUUGUCUUCAUAAGUUGGAACAUACUCAGAACCAUUCAAGAGGUCUAUCAAUUUGCUUUCAUUCAUGAAAUCUUUCAUUCCUUGUGACCCACAGUUACCUAAAACAUUAAUCCCCCCAAAAUUUAAUUCACAUCUUCACAUUAAUUUGCCUAAAAUUAACAAAAUUGUACUUUGGGCUUAUUAAUUACCAAUAGUAAAGGAGCUGAACAUUUUGCCCAAGGAAUCAUAGAGUUCUUGGUAACUCUUGUAUAAUUUCAAGUCCACCUUGCGUAGAUAGGGUGCACCAUCCAUGCUGACCUUAACAAACGCUGCUGCACUGGUGGUGUUGGUGGCAGUACUGCUGCCAGCCUUCUCGCCGGCCUCUUCCUCGGAGCUGUUCUUCUGGACGGCCAUGAUGUUCUUCCGGAAGGAUCUGACUUAUGUGUUGCGCCUGAAGCAAUAAUUACAACAAUACAAAAGCAAUAGACAACAAUCAAUAAUCAAAUACGCAGAAAAAAUAAAGCACACCAAGAUUUACGUGGAAAACCCUCCAGUGUAGAGGAAAAAAAUCACAGGCCACCAAAAAAAUCUUCACUAUCAAAUAAUAGUUAUACAAAGUUCUUCUCUAGCUAAAACUAGAGCUAAUCAACAACUAGAGAAACAAUUGGAGAAAUCUCACCAAAUAAGUGACUCAACAAAUACACCCUGGAUUUGUUCCUAGAGAGCUUCAAACCCGAUCUUCACCGUUUAGAAUGUAAAACUUUGAAUCAUAAACCGCCUGACAAGGUUCUAACUCAAUCGGAUCACGGAUCGACUUUCGUUCAACCAACUCUCCCUUUUUUUCUCUCUCUCUCUGUUUUUCCUGGCUUUUCUUCUUUCUCUACUUGGUUUUCGACACAUACCUAAAACAACCCCACCUCUUUUUUAUUAAGUAGCUAGGGCUCUGUCUAAAAUAAAAGAUCAAGGCCCAUGGCCUUUACUUGGUCUAAAACCACUUACAUGGGACUGGACCCCAUUUUUCUAACAAUCUCCCCCUUCAGCCCCAUUAAGAGGAGAUUCAUCACCAUAGCAGUUUCAUUUGGAACUUACCUUGACCAAGGAACUCAUUCCGGCUAAGUUACUGCAAAGCUCAAGCUUUUCUCUGAAAAGUUUAACAAGAUCAUAAGUAUCAUUUUUUCGCAAUUACUCCAUCUCUUCUUUCAUUGCUUUUAACCAGUGCUUUCUAUCAGGAGUAGCCUGCACAUCUUGAAAGCUUUCUGGCUCUCUUUCACUGGUAAUUAAAAUAAAAUCUGAACUUCGAUACCUGAUAGAUGACCUAUGCUCUCUAAUAGAUCUUCUGGACUGAGACUCUACAUCACUUGAUGCCGAAGAUAGCUCCCCCUGCUCAACACUCUCAGGUAGAGAGGAUUGCUCUUCCUAUUCAAAACUAAUAGCAUCUGGCUCAUCACCAACUAUAGCUGACUCAUUCAUAUCCCCAAGUUCUGUUUCUUGCUCAUUUUCACCAUCUGUGGCUCUUUCCUGUGGAAUCUCUGUCGGUGUUGAAACAUCAUACUCAAUAGUAACCUGUGUAGUCUUCUUAUUUUUCUCAAAGUCUGUUAUGGUUUUUUUUUCAUGAAAGACCACAUCCCUGCUUCUGACUGUCUUUCUCUUUACUGGAUCCCAUACCCUGUAGCUAAAUUUUUCAUCACAAUAUCCUAUAAACACACACUGUGUAACUUUACUGUGAAGCUUUGAUCUCUGCUCUUUCGACACAUGCAUGAAUGCUUUACACCUAAAAACUUUUAAGUGAAAGCAUGAAGUACCUUUCCCUGUCGACACUCUUUCUGGAAUGUCAAAGCCCAAAGGAACUGAUGGUGACCUGUUAAGUAAAUAACAAGUUGUAUUGACUACUUCACCCCAGAAUGACUUUGAUAAUUUUAACAUCUUCAACAUACAUCUGAUUUUUUCCACAAUGGUGCGAUUCAUUCUUUCAGCUACACCAUUAUGCUGCGGUGUUCCAGGUUCUGUCCUCUCAUGCCUGAUCCCAUGCUUUGAGCAAUACUCUUCAAAGUCUUUAGAUGUGUAUUCCCCAUCAUUAUCAAUUCGAAUACACUUCAAGGGUAACCCUGUCAUCCUCUCAACCAUGGCAUAAAAUUUUUGAAAAUACUGCAAUACCUGACUUUUAUAUUUCAACAUAUACACCUAAGUCUUACGUGAAACAUCAUCAAUAAAAGUAACAAAAUAUCUGCUACCACCUAAUGACUCAACCUCAAUGGGACCACAUACGUCAGAAUAAAUUAAUUUCAAUCUAUUUUCUUUUCUCUAAGAACUUUUACAAAAAGAAACUCUAUGAUUCUUACCAAACAAACAAUAAUCACAUGAAUCGAGAGACAUACCUUUGGUCAAGGGAAUGAAAGACUGCCUUGCCAAAACCUGUAACCCUUUUUCACUCAUGUGCGUCAGCCUCCUGUGCCACAAGUUUGUUGAAGCAUCAUUUUCAACGGUAUUUAUCUGAUUACCGUUCAAUUGCAUCCAUGUCUUAUACAUUGUACAGCAUAAUUUUUCUCUUGCAACUACCAUAGAUCCUUUGAGAAGCUUCCAUUGUUCAUUCUUUUGUCAACUUUCAUAUUCCUCCUUAUCAAAGACAUUAAUAAUAAGCAAGUUCAUUCUCAUAUCUGAAAUGUGUCUGACAUCCCUCAAAGUCAACAUGCAACCUAUACUAAUUUGUACAACAAUAUCACCAAUCCCAAUAAUCUGUGACACACUCUUGUUUCCCAUCUUGGUACAACCAACAUCUCCUGCUUUGUAAGUUGUAAACAACUCUCUCUUAGAAAUACAAUGAUAUGUCGCUCCUGUGUCAACUAUCCACUCAAUACCGAGAUCACUAACAUGAUUACAAUCACUAUGUGUACAAAUCAAAGUAACUGAAUCACUAUCUGAAUUCACUGCUGCAACAUUGCCAUCAUUUGAACUCUUACCUUUUUCAUCUUUUCGCUCUUGCUUUAAGAUUCUACAGUUUCAUUUUAUAUGACCCACCUUACCACAAUGAAAACACUUCACUUUACCUCUAGACUUGGAUCUAUUUUUAGACUUAACACGACCUUUUGAGUCCUGACCUCUGUCGAUGUUUUUAUCCCUAUUUUCUGUGACUAGAACUUGAUUCUCAGGAUCUACAUCUUUUCGCUUUGCUUUUUCAUUAAGCAUACUGUCUUUUACAAUCUUCAAUGUCACCUUAUAAUCAGAAGCUGAAUUAAGAACAAUCACAACUAGAGUAUUUCAACUGUCUGACAAUGAACCCAAAAGAAAUAACGCUUUCAUUUCAUCAUCCAUCUUAAGCUCCAUAGUAGUCAUCCGAUUAAAUAUAUCUUAAAAAUAACUUAAGUGCUCUGUAACAAAUCGUCCAUCCCUGUACUGUAAAGUUAUAAAUUUUUUAAUAAGCAUAACUUUAAUUAUACCUAUUUUUUUCUCAUAUAAUGCUGUCAAUUUUUUUAAAUAAUGUGAGCAUCUGAUUCCUGUGCUACAUGAUGAAAUACGCUGAUAUUAACCCAUUUUUUUAUUGUAGCCAGCGUCUUUCUACCUAGCUUCUUUCAGCUUUCAUCUUUCAUAUUUACUGAUUUAACCAAAUCACCCAAUACUAGCUCAUACAAAUCUUUACAGUAUAAAUGAUCAUCCAUCAUAGGCUUUCAAAUUGAAUAAUUCGAUGCUGUCAAUUUUAUCAUGAAACUUGUAUCACCCUCCAUGAUCUCAAACAGAAUUUACUUUUAUCUUGAGUUGCUUCUGUAUCGAUGUUUCAAAAUAACUUUUGCUCUGAUACCACUUGUUGCGCCUGAAGUAAUAAUCACAACAAUACAGAAACAAUAGACAACAAUCAAUAAUCAAAUACGUAAAAAAAAUAAAGCACACCAAAAUUUAGUGAAAAACCCUCCAGUGUAAAAAAUCACAGACCACCAGAAAAAUCUUCACUAUCAAAUAAUAGUUAUACAAGGUUCUUCUCUAGCUAAAACUAAAGCUAAUCAACAACUAGAGAAACAAUUAAAAAAAUCUCACCAAAUAAGUGACUCAACAAAUACACCAUGAAUUUGUUCCUAGGGAGCUUCAAACCCGAUCUUCACUGUUAAAAAUGUAAAACUCUGAAUCAUAAACCUCCUGACAAAGUUUUAACUCAAUCGGACCACGGAUCGACUUCCGUUCAAUCAACUCUCCCUUCUUUUUUUUCUGUCUCUACUUUUCUUGACUUUUCUUUUUUCUCUACUUAAUUUUCGACACACACCUAAAACAACUCCACCACUUUUUUAUUAAGUAGCAAAAGCUCUGUGUAAAAUAAAAGAUCAAAGCCUAUGAGUUUACUUGAUUCAAAACUACUUACAUGAGACUGGAUCUCAUUUUCUUAAAAUGGUGACCAUCCCACCACUUGUGCCCUGAAAUUUAAUGUGCCCUCAAAUUUAAGUUACUAGAUCAUUUUAAAUUUAUCAUAACAUUAAUCAUAUUGGUCAUAGGAAUGAAAUAACAUAAAAUUAUUGGAAUUCCAUUCUGAUUUUCCUUUAUUUUUUGGAUUUUAUUGUAAAAAAUAUUAUUAUCAACUUUUGAGAAGGUGAAUGUGGUAAUACUUUUGACAUUUACCAAUGUUUGGUAGCUUAGCUGUGGACUAUCUUAGGCAUUUUCCUGUUAAAAACUUUGAAUUAUUGUUUGGUUGUUAGGAAAAAAGUAGUAGAGAUUCCACAUGUUUUGUUCUUUUCCCUAUUUUUCCCGACAAACAACCAAAGCCAUCAAAUAUCAAAAUUAAACUGUUUUUUCACUUUACAAAGCCAAGAUUCAAUGGACACUCAUCUUCUUCAAUUCCAAAUUAAUAUUCAACAAUUGAAAGAAAAAAAAAAACCCCUAAAAACAAGAAAUUAAUUUCACUGAAAAAUAAAUUAACUGAUGCAUAUGCAAAUGCAUGCUCACUUCUUGAUUUCAUUAUUAAUCAAAUGAACUUUCAUUCUAAAGGAAAUGAAAUGAAAAAAAAAAAAAAACAAACAAACAAAAAGACGGAAAAAAAAACAAAUAUUGAGAAACAAGAUAACCAAGAAAAGAUAUGGGUAGCUUACUUUGCAGGGGGCUUUGCAGGGUCAGUAGAUAGAGGAGCAACAGAGCUCUUCUCCUUCAUCUUUUCAGUUUCGUUCGCCAUCGCCUCCUUAGUUGUUGAAAGGUUAAGUUUCAAAUCAACAGUCUCCAAAAACCCUCUUUUUCCAUUAUUUUUGGUCGUUUCGCCAUCAUUUCCAUUGCCUCCGGGCAACCCCCGGAGAUCUUUGGUUCAGGAUAAUUGCCAGAAGAUGUGGCUUUAACAAGCGAGAUAAAUUAAUAUUUUAAUAAAAAUAUAUAUAAAAAAUAAAACUGAAAAAAAAACAAAAAGUAGUAUCUCAAAACAGUGAAUCCAUUGAAAAAGAAAAUAUGUAAAAAAAAUAAUAAUAAAAUGCCAAUGGUGAAAAAAAGUGGAUCCUACUUUCUAAAAUAUUUUAUAAUUAAAUAUAAAAAUUAAAAUUAAAAAAAAUCAUGACUCUUCCGAUUGAAAAUUUUUUAUAAAAAAAAUAAAAUAAAUAGAUAAAAAAAAAAAAUCUACUGGUGCAAUUAAACAGUGCUAUCAACAACUGUAGUGUUUAUUUAUUUGAUUGUCAUUAUUCAUUGGUACUUGAUUGGCAUGUUUCAUUGAAAUUAUUAUCCGUGACAACAAAUACUGUCAAACAAAUGUGAAGUUUAUUUAUUUAAUUAACAUGAUUCAUUGAAAUUAUUGUCCUGAUACUGUUAAACAGUACUAUGAAACAAUUGUAAAAUUUAUUUAUUUGGUUGUUACGAUUCAUUGAAAUUAUUAUUUUUGAUUAGAGAUAUAAUUGAAUCGAGUCAAAUAGUAAUAAGUUUAAAUUCGACUCAUAAUUUGAGAUUCGUUAUUCGAUUUGAAUUUGAUCGAAUUUUAUUUUUUAAGUUUGAGUUCAAUUCGUGAUCGAAUUCGAAUUAUUAUUGUUCGCUCGAUUAAGUUUGAUUAAUAUGUAAAAAUAAGUUCGAUUCGUAUACUCAAUAAGAAUUCAAUUAUUCAUACUCGAACUCGAACUCGAAUUCGGAUUCGAAAUAUUUUAUUAAUUAAAAUAAUAAAAAUAUAUUUAAAUAUAAAAGUUCGAUUAAGCUCACGAACUAUUCGAAUCGGAUAUAAAAAUAUUUAAAUUCGAUUCGAUCGAUAAAUCAAAUUACUUGAAUUUAAACUUGACUCAAAAAUAAUCAACCAAAUUUAAAUUUUUUUCGAAUAAAAUUCGAAUAAUUUAUGAAUAUUAAUAUAUCAUUACACCUUUAUUUUUGACAAAAAUACUAUUAGACAAUUAUAAAAUUUAUUUACUUGAUUGAUAUGAUUCAUUGAAAUUAUUGUCCUGAUGCUAUUAAACAGUACUGUCAAACAGCUAUAAAGUUUUAUUUGUUUGAUUGUUAUGAUUCAUUGAAAUUAUUGUCCUGAUGCUAUUAAAAGUCAAACAGCUAUAAAGUUUAUUUGUUUGAUUGUCAUGAUUCAUUGAAAUUAUUGUCCUGAUGCUAUUAAAUAAUACUGUCAACAGCUUGUAAUAUUUAUAUAUAUUUGACUGAUUCGAUUCAUUCAAGUUAUUGUCCUUCAAGACAAGUGCUGUCAACAAUAUUUAUAUACUUAGAUUCAAUAAAUCUGAUUUCAUAUAAUAAUUUAAAGCAAAUUUCAUACCAGCAAAAUUUUGUCUAACAAAAAGUAAGCGAACUUUUUGUUUAUAUGCGGCCUUGUUCCUCAUCUUGUAUUAACUCUUUUCCUCUUUGAGAAAACUUUCUAUUAACUCUUAAAUCAAUGCGGAUGGAUAUCCAUUAUCAAUGAAACUUAAGCGAUUAUACUUAAUUUUAAAGUGAUUAAUUAGUAAUGUAUGUAAAAAUUAAUCAUGUCUGAAAUGUUAAUAAAUUUAGAUUAAAAAAUAUAAUAAUUGAAAAUUAAUUAAUUUCAGUACCCUCCUUUCAAUCAGGCACCCAUGAUACCUUUAUCUUGGAAACAUAAUGGAGCCUAUUAUGAAAAUCAAAGAAUAUAGCUAUUUUAUUAAGAGAGCGUUUUAUUUAUAAUUUUUAUUAUAAUUUUAUAAUUACUUAAUUAUCAUAAAAAUUAUAUAAAAAUUUAUUGUUUAUAAAUAUAAAUUUUAUGUAAAAUUUUUAUAAAUUUUACACAACUUUAAAUUAUGUUUACUUAAUUAUAUCAUAAUUAUUAUAAGUAAUAUAUUCUCUCUACUAAACUUUGGACCAACUCCAAUAUUCUUUCUUAAUUAGCUUUUCCUUUUUAAUUUCAUAUUAUCAUAAAAAUAAAACAUUAACUUAAUUUACAUCAGUUGUUAGUAUAUUUAUUAUUUUUAUGCUGUGUUAAUAAUUUUUUAUUUUUAAAUAUUAUUUAUGUUGUUUUUUUUUUCUUAAUCUUUUGGUUUUUUUUACAACUUAUAUAUUUUCAUGAAAAUUGAAGUUAAAAUGAUAUAUUCUCAAAAAAUUUCUGCUAACUCCCCGAACACUCCUAAACCUUUUCUCAGCUUCCUAUACGCCUCUUUUUCUCUCAAAUCAGUAGCUUUGCUCAUUGUUUGUUCUGUGUGUCCUUCAUUCUGUUCCAGAGGUCCAUUUUAUAGGGAUUGAUCAGGAAUUUCUAAUCAAUCCCAAUUCCUCCUUGGACGAAAAUUCAAUCUUUGAAUCCAAUCUAGACUCUUCUGAUUGAAUUGUCAUUCACAAUGAAAUUCUUCAACUUUCAAUCACAGUCAUCAAAAAAAAAAAACAAAAAAAUAAUAAUACUAAUCAGAUAAUCAAGAAAAAAAAUCAGAUAAAAUUAACAGAUAAUUUUAAAAAAUAAUAAUAAAAAAUAAAAUAAGAUAAACCCAAAUAAUAAUAAUAAUAAUGAUAUAAUAAUAAAUAUAUAACUAUAUAAAUAAAAUACAAAAAAAUAAAUAAAUAAAUAAAGAUAUACAUAUGUUAAUACAUAAUAAUAAUAAUAAAUAAUAAAAUACAUAAAAUACAAAGAAAAAAUAAUAAUAAUAAUACAGGAUAAAAAUUAAAUUGGGCCUUAUCCAUUCGGGCCAUACCCAAUUGAUCUGGGCCUGAACCUAAUUAGGUGUCUACAGCAAUGACUCUAUAUCUUCUUUCAUUACUUUUAACUAGUGCUCUCUAUCCGGAGUAGCUUGCACAUCUUGAAAGCUUUCUGACUCCCCUUCACUGGUAACUAAAAUAAAAUCUAAACUUGGAUAUCUGGUAGAUGGCCUGCGCUCUCUAGUAGAUCUCCUAGACUGAGACUCUACAUCACUUGAUGUCAAAAGUAGCUCCCCCUACUUAACACUCUCAGGUCGAGAAGAUUGCUCUCCCUAUUCAAAACUAAUAGCAUCUGGCUCAUCACCAACUGUAAUUGGCUCAUUCAUAUCCUCAAGUUUUGUUUCUUGCUCAUUUUUACCAUCUGUGGCUCUUUCUUGUGAAAUCUCUAUCGAUGUUGAAACAUCACACUCAACAGUAACCUGUGUAGUCUUCUUAUUUUUCUCAAAGUCUGCUAUGGUUUCUUUUUCAUGAAAGACCACAUCCCUGCUUCUAACUGUCUUUCUCUUUACUGGAUCACAUACCCUGUAGCUAAAUUUCUCAUCAUCAUAUCCUAUAAACACACACUGUGUAACUUUACUGUCAAGCUUUGAUCUUUUCUCUUUCGACACAUGCAUGAAUACUUUACACCCAAAAACUUUUAAGUGAGAGUAUGAAGUAUCUUUCCUUGUCCACACUCUUUCUGGAAUGUCAAAGCCCAAAGGAACUGAUGGUGACCUGUUAAGUAAAUAACAAGCUGUGUUGACUGCUUCACCCCAGAAUGAUUUUGGUAAUUUUAUCAUCUUCAACAUACAUCUAACUUUUUUCAUAAUGGUGCGAUUCAUUGUAUUCUUCACCAUUAUCAGUUCGAAUACACUUCAAGGGUAAUCCUGUCAUCCUCUCAAUCAUGGCAUAAAUUUUUAAAAAUACUGCAGUACCUGACUUUUGUAUUUCAACAUAUACACCUAAGUCUUACGUGAAGCAUUAUCAAUAAAAGUAACAAAAUAUCUGCUACCACCUAAUGACUCAACUUCAAUGAAAUAACAUACGUCAGAAUAAAUUAAUUUCAAUAAAUUAAUUUCAAUCUAUUCUCUUUUCUUUUAGAACUUUUACGAAAAGAAAUUCUAUGAUGCUUACCAAACAAACAAUAAUCACAUGAAUCGAAAGACAUACCUUUGGUCAAGGAAAUGAAAAACUGUCUUGCCAAAACCUGUAACCUUUUUUCACUCAUGUGUGCCAACCUCCUAUGCCACAAGUUUGCUGAAGCAUCAUUUUCAACGAUAUUUACCUAGUUAUCAUUCAAUUGCAUCCAUGUCUUAUACAUUAUGCAGCAUAAUUUUCUUCUUGCAACUACCAUAGAUCAUUUGAGAAGCUUUCAUUGUUCAUUCUUUUGUCGGCUUUCAUAUUCUUCCUUAUCAAGGACAUUAAUAGCAAGUAAGUUCAUUCUCAUAUCUGAAAUGUGUCUGACAUCCCUCAAAGUCAACAUGCAACAUAUACUAGUUUGUACAACAAUAUCAUCAAUCCCAAUAAUCUGUGACACACUCUUGUUUCUCAUUUUGGUACAACCAAAAUCUCCUACUUUGUAAGUUGUAAACAACUCUCUUAAAAACAUAAUGAUAUGUCGCUCCUGUGUCAACUAUCCACUCAACGUCGGGAUCACUAACAUGAUUACAAUCAUCAUGUGUACAAAUUAAAAUAACUGAAUCAUUAUCUGAAUUCGCUGUUGUAACAUUGUCAUCAUCUGAACUCUUAUCUUUCUUAUCUUUUCGCUCUUGCUUUAAGAUUCUACAGUUUCGUUUUAUAUGACCUGCCUUACCACAAUGAAAACACUUUACUUUACCUCUAGACUUGGAUCUAUGUUUAAACUUAUCACGACCUUUUGAGUCCUGACCUCUGUCAAUGUUUUUAUCCCUGUUCUCUGUGACUAGAGCUCGAUUCUCAAGAUUUACAUCCUUUCGUCUUACUUCUUCAUUAAGCAUACUAUUUUUUAUCAUCUCCAACGUCACCUUAUAAUCAGUAGCUGAAUUGAGAACAGUCACAACUAGAAUAUUCCAGCUGUCUGACAAUGAACUAAAAAAAAAUAACAACUUCAUUUCAUCAUCUAUCUUAAGCUCAUAGUAAUCAUCCGAUUAAAUAUAUCUUAAAAAUUAAUACUCAAUACAUCUAUCCCUGUAUAUAAAAUUAUAAGCUUUUUAAAAGCAUAACUUUAUUCAUACCUAUUUUUCUCUUAUAAAAUACUGUCAAUUUUUUUUAAAUAAUGUGAGCAUCUGAUUCCUGCGUUACAUGAUGAAAUACGCUGAUAUUAACCCAUUUUUGAUUGUAACCAACAUCUUUCUACCUAACUUCUUUCAACUUUCAUCUUUCAUAUCUGCUAGUUUAACCGAAUCAUCCAAUACUGACUCAUACAAAUCUUUACAGUAUAGAUGAUCUUCCAUCAUAAACUUUCAAAUUGAAUAAUUCAUGCUGUCAAUUUUUNNNNNNNNNNNNNNNNNNNNNNNNNNNNNNNNNNNNNNNNNNNNNNNNNNNNNNNNNNNNNNNNNNNNNNNNNNNNNNNNNNNNNNNNNNNNNNNNNNNNNNNNNNNNNNNNNNNNNNNNNNNNNNNNNNNNNNNNNNNNNNNNNNNNNNNNNNNNNNNNNNNNNNNNNNNNNNNNNNNNNNNNNNNNNNNNNNNNNNNNNNNNNNNNNNNNNNNNNNNNNNNNNNNNNNNNNNNNNNNNNNNNNNNNNNNNNNNNNNNNNNNNNNNNNNNNNNNNNNNNNNNNNNNNNNNNNNNNNNNNNNNNNNNNNNNNNNNNNNNNNNNNNNNNNNNNNNNNNNNNNNNNNNNNNNNNNNNNNNNNNNNNNNNNNNNNNNNNNNNNNNNNNNNNNNNNNNNNNNNNNNNNNNNNNNNNNNNNNNNNNNNNNNNNNNNNNNNNNNNNNNNNNNNNNNNNNNNNNNNNNNNNNNNNNNNNNNNNNNNNNNNNNNNNNNNNNNNNNNNNNNNNNNNNNNNNNNNNNNNNNNNNNNNNNNNNNNNNNNNNNNNNNNNNNNNNNNNNNNNNNNNNNNNNNNNNNNNNNNNNNNNNNNNNNNNNNNNNNNNNNNNNNNNNNNNNNNNNNNNNNNNNNNNNNNNNNNNNNNNNNNNNNNNNNNNNNNNNNNNNNNNNNNNNNNNNNNNNNNNNNNNNNNNNNNNNNNNNNNNNNNNNNNNNNNNNNNNNNNNNNNNNNNNNNNNNNNNNNNNNNNNNNNNNNNNNNNNNNNNNNNNNNNNNNNNNNNNNNNNNNNNNNNNNNNNNNNNNNNNNNNNNNNNNNNNNNNNNNNNNNNNNNNNNNNNNNNNNNNNNNNNNNNNNNNNNNNNNNNNNNNNNNNNNNNNNNNNNNNNNNNNNNNNNNNNNNNNNNNNNNNNNNNNNNNNNNNNNNNNNNNNNNNNNNNNNNNNNNNNNNNNNNNNNNNNNNNNNNNNNNNNNNNNNNNNNNNNNNNNNNNNNNNNNNNNNNNNNNNNNGGAUCGAGACUUAAAUUUCGAACCUGCAUGAUUUUAGGAUUCGGACAUUCAUCCUUCUGGUGUCUUGAAUUAGUCUACCUGUCAAUGCACCUCACAAAAAAAAGGUAGUGUGAACACUUUUAGAUCCCAGUGACCUUCUUAUUAUAUUUGAUAUAUGAUUUAAAACUCUUCUUUAAGUCCGUGACAUACGCACUAAACAAUUAUUUUCAAGUUAAAUGGAGACGUGGGUUUCUAGAAUUUAAACCUCCUUUAAUGGCUUUCAAGUAAAAAAAAUUAUUUUAUUGGAAAAUUAGAGAAAGGAUGUUCACGCAAACAAGGCAACUUAAAACUGAGUGAGUAAAAGAUUAAGUGUGAUCUGAUUUUGGAUCUAAACUAAGACUGAUCAGAGCUACGUUAGUAGGACAUUAUCUCUUUGUCGUUACAAUAAAUAGUAAAUUUUAAAAAAAUUAUAUUAAAUUUAAAAAUCAAUAAUCAAGAGAGAUUAUUAAAAAUGAGAUCCAAAUUUAAAUUUUACAAAAAAAAAUUGAAAUUUUAUCAAUACAAUGAGUCAAAUUAAGAACAUAUUAUCAUUGUGGGCCACUUCCAUUUUUUAAGUACAAAAAAUAUUAUUUAAAAAUAAAAAAUUAUAUUUAUUAAAAUUUGAAUUUAAAAAUAAUAUUUAAAAAAAUAAUUAUAUUAAUCAGCUUAAGUAAAUUUCAAAUUUCAUUCUACCCAUCUAAAACAACUCUCCCAAACUUUAUUAUUCCCAAAGGAAAUAACUGAUCUUCAUGCAGGUAUCACCCGAAAACUCUUCCCAUGCUUUGUCUCCAAAAUACAACCUGACGAAAUGCCGACACGUGCGUACGCUACAAAAUAAGGGCAAAUGCAUACUCUUAAGGAAAAUAUGUUAUACGCUUUUUUUUAAUUCUUUAAAAAUACUUAGUGUUUUUUAAUUUAAAAAAGUAUAUUUAUUCUUAAAUUUUCAAAAUAUCAUUUUAUUUUACAAAAAAUAUUGUUUUGAGAUCUUAAUUUACAUGUAAUUUAUAUUUGAUAUACUAUUAAUGUAUCAAUACUAUACAUUAUAAUAGAAUCACACAAUGAUACCUUAUAAAAAAUGUUAAUUAGAAAUGUAAUUUUAAAUUAAAUUUUGCUUUUUAAAAUUUAAAUUUUCAAAAUUAAUUUUUAAUUAGAAUUAUCAUUUUAUUUAUAUGACUUCAUUAACUAUGGUAUAAAUUUUACUGUGCAUCGAAUUAUAAGGUCAUCAAAUAUAGGUUACAACUAAGUGUAUAUAGGUACUUCCUACUCUAAAUCGCUAUCCUGAAGGUUGUGUAGGAAAUUUCAUACGCACGUUUCAAAUGCACGCUCCAUCAUCCAAAUUCCAAAGGAGCAAGAAAUUUUGGAUAUAAAUAGCUAGCCUAUGAGGGUUGUGGUAAGCAAUCACAAGAGUGAAACAAAGCAAGAGAGCCAAACCUAAUAGUUACUUGGUAGAGAUCAUCAAUUCAAAUGUCAAAUUAAGAAAGAGAGCUACCGAAAAUUGAACUUGAUAUUGCCAAGAUUUUAUCGUCCUCAAAUCCAAUGACAAGAACGAUUAUCUGGGCUACAUCCAUGAAGAUGGGGAGUCUGAUGGGUAUCCUCAGCUUCAAGGAAACUCAAGCUGUGAGUCCCAUACCGCAAAAUUUGAAGGGAGAUUGUUGGGCCAAAGAUGGCUUGGUGCACAUAAGCAGAUGUCAGAACAACAAAUACUGGGUACGAACCAAAAUCUUUCCAUCAGAGGAAAUCACUUGGAGCAGUACUUCUGGAUUACUGCAACCGCCAACAAGGAGGAGGAAGACCAAUCCGACGAUCAUGCACAUUUGUCAAGUUUAUCUGUGUAGACCCCGUAAAAACUACGGUUCGAAUCAAGCAUGUCCAAUCAGGAUGCUAUUUAUGCUUAUGGCAGAUUAGUAAUUCCAGCAUUUCCUCGCUGCGUGAUGGCCAACUACACAUUAUGUGAUAGUAAUAGUUGUGAUAUCUUCACAAUCAUUGAUUGGGAGCCUUUGUUGAUUCUGCCUAGGUACGUGGCAUUCAAAGGACAUAAUGAUAGUUAUUUAUGUCUUCGUCAGAUCGAGGGUCACCCAUAUACGCAGUUUGCAACUGAUGAUAUUGGUGAUUCAACUGUGGCAUGUGAGAUUUUCGUUACUGACGACAGAAACGUCCGCAUCAAUCCUACUUCUUCCAAUAAAUUUUGGAGGGCAACCCGACUUGGAUUUGGUCGGAUUCCGAUGACACUAGCAGCAACACCAAGGACACCUUGUUUCGCCCCGUCAAAGUUGACAAUAAAACAAUAGGUCUUCUCAACUUGGGCAAUUAUAAUUUCUGCAACCGCCUCACACUCGAAUGAAAGACGAACUGCCUAAAUGCAGCCGUCCCUUCUGUUACUAAAGAGGCCCAGCUAACAGUGGAAGAGCCUGUCUUGACGAGGAACAUUUAUAAUGUCAAAUAUGAUCUCGAUAAUUCCAGGAUCUACGAUGAAACAGAUCUUCCUGUGGCCAAGAAUUACAGUAACUAUACCCAGGAAUCCACCACUUUAGACGUGAAGCUUUCCUAUACAGAUACCAGGACUAGUACUUGGAAGACUAUGUUUUCACUAAAGUUAGGCGUGACAUCCACCUUCGACGUUGGCCUUCCACUCAUUUUGAGGGAAAUAUUGAAUUAUCUGGUGAAAUUCAAUCAGGUGUCGAGUGGGGAGAGACCAAGACGUCAACCACUGUUUUGGAAGUUGUACACAAAGUUGUUGUGCCUCCAAUGACUAAGGUGACGGUACAUCUUAUUGCAACAAAUGUUAAGUGUGAUGUUCCCUUCACAUACAUGCAAAGGGACACUCUUUAUAACGGGACUACUGUCACAAAUGAGUUGCCAGGUACAAUAUCGACUUUCAAACCAAAGAAGAGAAGAUCCCAAAUUUAAGAAUAAAUAAAUGCAUCUGUGGUAUGAUUUUAUAUGAUUUAGAGAUUGCCUUGUAUUUGGCUUAUGGUAAAAAAAAAAGAUUAAAAUUGUAAAUUUAGCAAAUUAAAUAUGAAAUAGAUUAAAAUCUAGUAAAGAAACGAAGUAAAAUAAUUUGUGCUUAGGUUCGUGGCAUUCAAAGGAAAUAAUGAUAACUAUCUGUGUCUUCGUCAGAUCGAGGAUCACCCAUAUUUGCAGUUUGCAACUGAUGAUAUUGGCGAUUCAACUGUGGCAUGCGAGAUUUUCGUUGUUGACGACGGAAAUGUCCGCAUCAAGUCCAUUUCUUCCAAUAAAUUUUGGAAGCGCAACCCGAAUUGGAUUUGGGCCGAGUCUGAUGACACGAGCAGCAACAACAAGGAUAACUCGCUUCGCCCCGUCAAAGUUGACAAUAAGACAAUAGGUCUUCUCAACUUGGGCAACAAAAAUUUCUGCAAACCCUCACACUCGAAGGAAAGACGAACUGCCUUAAUGCAGCCGUCUCCAAUAUUGCUGAACAGGCCCAGCUAACGGUGGAAGAGUCUGUCUUGACGAGGAAAAUUUAUAAUGUCAAAUAUGAUCUUGAUAAUUUCUACCAAAGUAUCCUCUCCGUGGCCAAGAAUUCUGCUAGUAACUAUACCCAGAAAUCCACCACUUAAGACGUGAAGCUUUCGCAUACAGAUACCACAUUUAGAACUUGGAGGAAUAGGUUUUCACUAAAGUUAGGUAUGAAAACCACCUUGGACGUUGGAAUUCCACUCAUUUCGAAUGGAGAGAGAGAAUUAUCAAACAGGUGUGGAGUGGGGAGAGACCAAGAGCUCGACAACUGUUCUGGAAGUUAUACACAAAGUUGUUGUGCCUCCAAUGACUAAGGUGACAGUGGAUGUAAUUCCAACAAAUGGUAAGUGUGAUGUUCCCUUCACAUACACACAAAGGGACACUCUUUAUAACGGAACUACUGUCACAACUGAAGUGCAAGGUGACACUUACACUGGUUCUUUAUAACUACAACAUCCACUUUCAAACCAGAUCAGAGAGUAUCACGAAUUGAGAAAACACUCAAAACUCAACUGGUGCAAAAGCAAGGAAUUACAAGGAUUGUGUGCAUCCACUAAAUAAAAUAAUGUUUCCUUCAUGGAAGCAAUGUCCGUUUUCUUGUUAUUAAUCUAUAAUCAAUAUGUAUACUGCAUGCAUAGCCCUGUGGCAUUUCAUGUCCUUUAAUUUGAGAACAAAUAAAUUCCUGUUUGAUGUAAAUUUAUGUAUUUGGAGAUCAUCUUGUAUUUGUCUCUGUGGUAAAGAAUGAAAGAAUUGAUUAAAACAAAAAGAGAUUAAAAUUUGAAGAUUUAGCACAUUAAAUAUAAAAUAGAUUAAAAUGUGGUAAAGAAAAUGAAGUAAAAAAAUUUAGAAAAUCCAUUAGAAGUGAAAUUGUUAUUAACAAUUAUUGUACUCGAGGCUCAAACAAAAUUAAUUGGUAUUAUCUUGUCAAAACAUGCUGUGAGUUUGGUUGAGAACAUGCUCGCAUGCAGACGAUGAAUCCUUUUCUUGGAAGCCAUUGUCGAAUCGGUGGUUGUGGUAAAGAAGAUGCUGACUUGUUUGGAGUUGGCCAACCAUUGAAAGGAGGCCGAAUAGAUUGUUGGAUUGGGCCAACCAUCGAAAAAUAAACCGACCCACUAGCUUUAAUAAAUUUGCCAUUGAAGACAACAUUGGAGGCAACCUACAAUUCAACAGUUUUGGGUAAAAAAAAAUCAAUUUCAUUAAAUUUCAUUAAAUUUAGGACAAGGAUUUUCAUUAAUCAUGAUCUUAUCCCAAAUUUUAAGAAAAAAUAAUAUCAAAGCAUGAGUAAAAUAAUCAUGCACCAAAAUACUGAAUCAAAUGCUAAAAUGUUUUUAAUUUUUUUUUUUUAAUCACAAGCUUACAUGAUAGAAAAUAAUCUUAUUUGGUUCUUUCACCCAACCAUCUGACCUUAAAGCUCAUUGCAAGCAAACUUAAGCCUCCAUUUUCUAUCUUAUAUGGGGUUUUCAUUUUCUCUAUCCCUUCAAUAGGAAAGCAAAUUAUCACAACAAUGAUUGAAGUAGAAUAGAUCUGAGUAAUAAAUUUCAUGUUAGAUCAGGCAACCAUUAUUAUCAAUAUUUUUUUUAUUUAUAUUCAUUUCACUUGCCUGAACAAAAGGAAUCUUUGAAAAAUGGAAAGGACAAAACCAAAUUUCUCAAAUCCCCAGUUUCAUGUUGGGGGAGAUCUUAAAGAAAGAGGCUUUUCCAUCCUCCAUUUCAGUUAAUUAAAGCCAAUAAUUUCAAAGAUAUUUAGUUAGUUAACCAUUUUUUUUCAAUUAAGAAGCCUGCCUAAGAAUAAAUUUAUAUAUGCUUUGUCUUGAGCUGCUUCAAAGUCAUUAGAAACCAAAAUGCCAGUCAAAUUUGGUUAUAGAACAUGGUUCAUUCACCUUAUUGCAAAGACAUUUCCCACACCUCCAUGUUUUGACUAUCAAUAGGAAUGCUUUUUUUAUGUUCCAUUUUCUUUUUGGUUUAAUGUCACUGAAUUCCAUACUAAAUAUAAUGACAUUAUUUUAUAUCUAUGUACAUAAUUUUUUCUUGUACAAAAAAAAAGUGUGGAGAAGCUAUCUCACUUCAAGAUCAAAAUAUAUCAUAGACUUAAAUUCAACAAUGAAUUACAUUAAAUUUACAAAUCAUUCAAAAAAAAAAAUAAUUGGUAACAAAAAUAAAAUUUAAAUCGUACAAGCGAAGAAUUAUCAACUCAAUCAAAACCAUUAACCUAUUUACAUAAUUUUGAAUCUCUUUAUUUAUUAUCAAAUAAUUAUGAAUCAUAUAUAUCAUUUUUCAAUAUUUGUGUAUAACUCGAGUGUUAGAAGAAAAGGAAUUUUGUAGUAAAUGUAAUGUUUUUAUAUUGAAAAUUCAGAUUUUCAAUAAUUUUAUAUUAAAUAUAAUAUUGACAACUUUAUUCAUGAUUUUCAAUAUAUUCAAUGAAAAUAUUAUUUUUAUAAUAAUUUUAAAAUUUUCAAAAUAAUUCUAAGGUCCACACUUGUCUACAACUUGCAAUAAAAAUAUACAAAAUCAGCAAUGAAAAUUAACUAAAAAAAAAAAAGUAAUGAUUGAUUCUUAAAUGUUUCCUUUGCACAUGGCCUUGCUCCGCCUUAUCACUUUGUUCAUGGAUCUUGUUUAUUUGUCUCCUCAACCAAUUACAAAAACAUUAUAAAAUUUAUGAAAUAAUAAUAAUAAUAAGUAUACAUAAUUCAGAGAAUCUUUUCAUACAUUACAUUGAAAAAAAUACAUGCAAUAAUAUUACAAAAUAGAGUGAAAAAAAAAAAAAAAAAACACUCAUGACAACUAAAAACAUUAAUAUUUUUAAGAAAUUAUUAAACAAGCCAUUGACAAUAAAAAAGGGUUACACAGAAGAAAAGCAAAGUCUUAUUGAUUUCCUAUUAUUUGAUUUCUUGUCCAUUAAUAAAUCUCCCAAUAUAUUCCUCAUAAUUUUUUUUUUCUUCAUGCUGAUGAACACAUUCAAACUCCCUACUCAAUCCCUAUAUUCGAGCCGGUUUGCCGCUCUGUUUUUUAUCUUUGUAACGCUUGAUUUCAACUGAGAUUGUUGUUUGUGAAACUGCUUCAACUUCUGUUCUUGCACUUCUCUACUGCUCUUGGAGCUGCAAAUUCCAUGAAAAUCAAAUCAAUAAUUACGAUUGAACAGUCAUGAUUAUAUAGAAUUAAUAGUUACUAACCAAGUCCAAUUGUCUCAGAUCCUUUCAUGAUUCUCAGUCGUUUGCAUGAAUCAACGAACAUCCUAUAAAUUUAGCAAAAAAAAAUAUAAAUUAGUAAGAUUUAAUCAUAAAAUAAAUAUGCCAAUUAAUUAGAAAAUGUAAAAUUGAAGUUAAAAACUUUCUCCCAUGGGACAUCACCAACAAGCAUCCAAUCUCCAUCUUUGUCUUCAUAAGUUGGAACAUACUCAGAACCAUUCAAGAGGUCUAUCAAUUUGCUUUCAUUCAUGAAAUCUUUCAUUCCUUGUGACCCACAGUUACCUAAAACAUUAAUCCCCCCAAAAUUUAAUUCACAUCUUCACAUUAAUUUGCCUAAAAUUAACAAAAUUGUAUUUUGGGCUUAUUAAUUACCAAUAGUAAAGGAGCUGAACAUUUUGCCCAAGGAAUCAUAGAGUUCUUGGUAACUCUUGUAUAAUUUCAAGUCCACCUUGCGUAGAUAGGGUGCACCAUCCAUGCUGACCUUAACAAACGCUGCUGCACUGGUGGUGUUGGUGGCAGUACUGUUGCCAGCCUUCUCGCCGGCCUCUUCCUCGGAGCUGUUCUUCUGGACGGCCAUGAUGUUCUUCCGGAAGGAUCUGACUUAUGUGUUGCGCCUGAAGCAAUAAUCACAACAAUACAGAAGCAAUAGACAACAAUCAAUAAUCAAAUACGCAGAAAAAAUAAAGCACACCAAGAUUUACGUGAAAAACCCUCCAGUGUAGAGGAAAAAAAUCACAAGCCACCAGAAAAAUCUUCACUAUCAAAUAAUAGUUAUACAAAGUUCUUCUAUAGCUAAAACUAGAGCUAAUCAACAACUAGAGAAACAAUUGGAGAAAUCUCACCAAAUAAGUGACUCAACAAAUACACCCUGGAUUUGUUCCUAGAGAGCUUCAAACUCGAUCUUCACCGUUCAGAAUGUAGAACUUUGAAUCAUAAACCGUCUGACAAGGUUCUAACUCAAUCGGAUCACAGAUCGACUUUCGUUCAACCAACUCUCCCUUUUUUUUCUCUCUCUCUCUCUGCUUUUCCUGGCUUUUCUUCUUUCUCUACUUGGUUUUCGACACAUACCUAAAACAACCCCACCUCUUUUUUAUUAAGUAGCUAGGGCUCUAUCUAAAAUAAAAGAUCAAGGUCCAUGGCCUUUACUUGGUCUAAAAUCACUUACAUGGGACUGGACCCCAUUUUUCUAACAAUCUCUCCCUCCAGCCCCAUUAGGAGAAGAUUCAUCACCAUAGCAGUUUCAUUUGGAACUUACCUUGGCCAGGGAACUCAUUCCGGUCAAGUUACUGCAAAGCUCAAGCUUUUUCUCGAAAAGUUUAACAAGAUCAUAAGUAUCAUUUUUUCGCAAUGACUCCAUCUCUUCUUUCAUUGCUUUUAACCAGUGCUCUCUAUCCGGAGUAGCCUGCACAUCUUGAAAGCUUUCUGGCUCUCUUUCACUGGUAAUUAAAAUAAAAUUUGAACUUGGAUACCUGAUAGAUGACCUGCACUCUCUAGUAGAUCUUCUGGACUGAGACUCUACAUCACUUGAUGCCGAAGGUAGCUCCCCCUGCUCAACACUCUCAGGUAGAGAGGAUUGCUCCUCCUAUUCAAAACUAAUAGCAUCUGGCUCAUCACCAACUAUAGCUGACUCAUUCAUAUCCCCAAGUUCUGUUUCUUGCUCAUUUUCACCAUCUGUGGCUCUUUCCUGUGGAAUCUCUGUCGGUGUUGAAACAUCAUACUCAACAGUAACCUGUGUAGUCUUCUUAUUUUUCUCAAAGUCUGUUAUGGUUUCUUUUUCAUGAAAGACCACAUCCCUGCUUCUGACUGUCUUUCUCUUUACUGGAUCCCAUACCCUGUAGCUAAAUUUUUCAUCACAAUAUCCUACAAACACACACUGUGUAACUUUACUGUGAAGCUUUGAUCUCUGCUCUUUCGACACAUGCAUGAAUGCUUUACACCUAAAAACUUUUAAGUGAGAGCAUGAAGUAUCUUUCCCUGUCGACACUCUUUCUGGAAUGUCAAAGCCCAAAGGAACUGAUCGUGACCUGUUAAGUAAAUAGCAAGCUGUAUUGACUACUUCACCCCAGAAUGACUUUGAUAAUUUUAACAUUUUCAACAUACAUCUGAUUUUUUCCACAAUGGUGCGAUUCAUUCUUUCAGCUAUACCAUUAUGCUGCGGUAUUCCAGGUUCUGUCCUCUCAUGCCUGAUCCCAUACUUUGAGCAAUACUCUUUAAAGUCUUUAGAUGUGUAUUCCUCAUCAUUAUCAAUUCGAAUACACUUCAAGGGUAACCCUGUCAUCCUCUCAACCAUGACAUAAAAUUUUUAAAAAUACUACAAUACCUGACAUUUAUAUUUCAACAUAUACACCUAAGUCUUACGUGAAACAUCAUCAAUAAAAGUAACAAAAUAUCUGCUACCACCUAAUGACUCAACCUCAAUGGGACCACAUACGUCAGAAUAAAUUAAUUUCAAUCUAUUUUCUUUUCUCUGAGAACUUUUACAAAAAGAAACUCUAUGAUUCUUACCAAACAAACAAUAAUCACAUGAAUCGAGAGACAUACCUUUGGUCAAGGGAAUGAAUGACUGCCUUGCCAAAACCUGUAACCCUUUUUCACUCAUGUGCAUCAGCCUCCUGUGCCACAAGUUUGCUGAAGCAUCAUUUUCAAUGGUAUUUACCUGGUUACCGUUCAAUUGCAUCCAUGUCUUAUAUAUUGUACAGCAUAAUUUUUCUCUUGCAACUACCAUAGAUCCUUUGAGAAGCUUCCAUUGUUCAUUCUUUUGUCAACUUUCAUAUUCCUCCUUAUCAAAGACAUUAAUAACAAGCAAGUUCAUUCUCAUAUCUGAAAUGUGUCUGACAUCCCUCAAAGUCAACAUGCAGCCUAUACUAAUUUGUACAACAAUAUCACCAAUCCCAAUAAUCUGUGACACACUCUUGUUUUCCAUCUUGGUACAACCAACAUCUCCUGCUUUGUAAGUUGUAAACAAUUCUCUCUUAGAAACACAAUGAUAUGCCGCUCCUGUGUCAACUAUCCACUCAAUACCAAGAUCACUAACAUGAUUACAAUCACCAUGUGUACAAAUCAAAGUAACUGAAUCACUAUCUGAAUUCACUGCUGCAACAUUGCCAUCAUCUGAACUCUUACCUUUUUCAUAUUUUCGCUCUUGCUUUAAGAUUCUACAGUUUCAUUUUAUAUGACCCACUUUACCACAAUGAAAACAUUUCACUUUAUCUCUAGACUUGGAUCUAUGUUUAGACUUAACACGACCUUUUGAGUCCUGACCUCUGUCGAUGUUUUUAUCCCUGUUCUCUGUGACUAGAACUUGAUUCUCAGGAUCUACAUCUUUUCACCUUGCUUUUUCAUUAAGCAUACUGUCUUUUAGGAUCUUCAAUGUCACCUUAUAAUCAGAAGCUGAAUUAAGAACAAUCACAACUAGAGUAUUUCAACUAUCUGACAAUGAACCCAAAAGAAAUAACGCCUUCAUUUCAUCAUCCAUCUUAAGCUCCAUAGUAGUCAUCCGAUUAAAUAUAUCUUAAAAAUAAUUUAAGUGCUCUGUAACAAAUCGUCCAUCCCUGUACUGUAAAGUUACAAACUUUUUAAUAAGCAUAACUUUAAUUAUACCUAUUUUUCUCUCAUAUAAUGCUGUCAAUUUUUUUAAAAUAAUGUGAGCAUCUGAUUCCUGCGCUACAUGAUGAAAUACGCUGAUAUUAACCCAUUUUUUUUUAUUGUAGCCAGCGUCUUUCUACCUAGCUUCUUUCAGCUUUCAUCUUUCAUAUUUACUGAUUUAACCAAAUCACCCAAUACUAGCUCAUACAAAUCUUUACAGUAUAAAUGAUCACCAUCAUAAGCUUUCAAAUUGAAUAAUUCGAUUCUGUCAAUUUUAUCAUGAAACUUGUAUCACCCUCCAUGAUCUCAAACAGAAUUUACUUUUAUCUUGAGUUGCUUCUGUAUCGAUGUUUCAAAAUAACUUUUGCUCUGAUACCACUUGUUGCGCCUGAAGCAAUAAUCACAAUAAUACAGAAACAAUAGACAACAAUCAAUAAUCAAAUACGUAGAAAAAAUAAAGCACACCAAAAUUUAGUGAAAAACCCUCCAGUGUAAAAAAUCACAGAUCACCAGAAAAAUCUUCACUAUCAAAUAAUAGUUAUACAAAGUUCUUCUCUAGCUAAAACUAAAGCUAAUCAACAACUAGAGAAACAAUUAGAAAAAUCUCACCAAAUAAGUGACUCAACAAAUACACCAUUAAUUUGUUCCUAGAGAGCUUCAAACCCGAUCUUCACUGUUAAAAAUGUAGAACUCUGAAUCAUAAACCUCCUGACAAAGUUCUAACUCAAUCGAACCACGGAUCGACUUCCGUUCAAUCAACUCUCCCUUUUUUUUUUCUGUCUCUACUUUUCUUGACUUUUCUUUUUUCUCUACUUAAUUUUCGACACACACCUAAAACAACUCCACCUCUUUUUUAUUAAGUAGCUAAAGCUCUGUGUAAAAUAAAAGAUCAAAGCCUAUGAGUUUACUUGAUUCAAAACUACUUACAUGAGACUGAAUCUGAUUUUUUUAAAAUGGUGGCCAUCCCACCACUUGUGCCCUGAAAUUUAAUGUGACCUCAAAUUUAAGUUACUAGAUCAUUUUAAAUUUAUCAUAACAUUAAUCAUAUUGGUCAUACGAAUGAAAUAACAUAAAAUUAUUGGAAUUCCAUUCUGAUUUUCCUUUAUUUUUUGGAUUUUAUUGUAAAAAAUAUUAUUAUCAACUUUUGAGAAGGUGAAUGUGGUAAUACUUUUGACAUUUACCAAUGUUUGGUAGCUUAGCUGUGGACUAUCUUAGGCACUUUCCUGUUAAAAACUUUGAAUUAUUGUUUGGUUGUUAGGAAAAGUAGUAGAGAUUCCACAUGUUUUGUUCUUUUCCCUCUUUUUCCCGACAAACAACCAAAGCCAUCAAAUAUAAAAAUUAAACUGUUUUUUCACUUUACAAAGCCAAGAUUCAAUGGACACUCAUCUUCUUCAAUUCCAAAUUAAUAUUCAACAAUUGAAAGAAAAAAAAACCCCUAAAAACAAGAAAUUAAUUUCACUGAAAAAUAAAUUAACUGAUGCAUAUGCAAAUGCAUGCUCACUUCUUGAUUUCAUUAUUAAUCAAAUGAACUUUCAUUCUAAAGGAAAUGAAAUGAAAAAAAAAAAAAACAAACAAACAAAAAGACGAAAAAAAAAACAAAUAUUGAGAAACAAGAUAACCAAGAAAAGAUAUGGGUAGCUUACUUUGCAGGGGGCUUUGCAGGGUCAGUAGAUAGAAGAGCAACAGAGCUCUUCUCCUUUAUCUUCUCAGUUUCGUUCGCCAUCGCCUCCUUAGUUGUUUAAAGGUUAAGUUUCAAAUCAACAGUCUCCAAAAACCCUCUUUUUCCAUUAUUUUUGGUCGUUUCGCCAUCAUUUCCAUUGCCUCCGGGCAACCCCUGGAGAUCUUUGGUUCAGGAUAAUUGCCAGAAGAUGUGGCUUUAACAAGCGAGAUAAAUUAAUAUUUUAAUAAAAAUAUAUAUAAAAAAUAAAACUGAAAAAAAAAACAAAAAGUAGUAUCUCAAAACAGUGAAUCCAUUGAAAAAGAAAAUAUGUAAAAAAAAUAAUAAUAAAAUGCCAAUGGUGAAAAAAAGUGGAUCCUACUUUCUAAAAUAUUUUAUAAUUAAAUAUAAAAAUUAAAAUUAAAAAAAAUCAUGACUCUUCCGAUUGAAAAUUUUUUAUAAAAAAAUAUAAAAUAAAUAGAUAAAAAAUAAAAAUAAAUAAAAAAAAUCUACUGGUGCAAUUAAACAGUGCUAUCAACAACUGUAGUGUUUAUUUAUUUGAUUGUCAUUAUUCAUUGGUACUUGAUUGGCAUGUUUCAUUGAAAUUAUUAUCCGUGACAACAAAUACUGUCAAACAAUUGUGAAGUUUAUUUAUUUAAUUAACAUGAUUCAUUGAAAUUAUUGUCCUGAUACUGUUAAACAAUACUAUGAAACAAUUGUAAAAUUUAUUUAUUUGGUUGUUACGAUUCAUUGAAAUUAUUAUUUUGAUUAGAGAUAUAAUUGAAUCGAGUCAAAUAGUAAUAAGUUUAAAUUCGACUCAUAAUUUGAGAUUCGUUAUUCGAUUUGAAUUUGAUCGAAUUUUAUUUUUUAAGUUUGAGUUCAAUUCGUGAUCGAAUUCGAAUUAUUAUUGUUCGCUCGAUUAAGUUUGAUUAAUAUGUAAAAAUAAGUUCGAUUCGUAUACUCAAUAAGAAUUCAAUUAUUCAUACUCGAACUCGAACUCGAAUUCGGAUUCGAAAUAUUUUAUUAAUUAAAAUAAUAAAAAUAUAUUUAAAUAUAAAAGUUCGAUUAAGCUCACGAACUAUUCGAAUCGGAUAUAAAAAUAUUCAAAUUCGAUUCGAUCGAUAAAUCAAAUUACUUGAAUUUAAACUUGACUCAAAAAUAAUCAAACCAAAUUUAAAUUUUUUUCGAAUAAAAUUCGAAUAAUUUAUGAAUAUUAAUAUAUCAUUACACCUUUAUUUUUGACAAAAAUACUAUUAGACAAUUAUAAAAUUUAUUUACUUGAUUGAUAUGAUUCAUUGAAAUUAUUGUCCUGAUGCUAUUAAACAGUACUGUCAAACAGCUAUAAAGUUUAUUUGUUUGAUUGUUAUGAUUCAUUGAAAUUAUUGUCCUGAUGCUAUUAAAAGUCAAACAGCUAUAAAGUUUAUUUGUUUGAUUGUCAUGAUUCAUUGAAAUUAUUGUCCUGAUGCUAUUAAAUAAUACUGUCAACAGCUCGUAAUAUUUAUAUAUAUUUGACUGAUACGAUUCAUUCAAGUUAUUGUCCUUCAAGACAAGUGCUGUAAACAAUAUUUAUAUACUUAGAUUCAAUAAAUCUGAUUUCAUAUAAUAAUUUAAAGCAAAUUUCAUACCAGCAAAAUUUUGUCUAACAAAAAGUAAGCGAACUUUUUGUUUAUAUGCGGCCUUGUUCCUCAUCUUUGUAUUAACUCUUUUCCUCUUUGAGAAAACUUUCUAUUAACUCUUAAAUCAAUGCGGAUGGAUAUCCAUUAUCAAUGAAACUUAAGCGAUUAUACUUAAUUUUAAAGUGAUUAAUUAGUAAUGUAUGUAAAAAUUAAUUGAAAUGUUAAUAAAUUUAGAUUAAAAAAUAUAAUAAUUGAAAAUUAAUUAAUUUCAGUACCCUCCUUUCAAUCAGGCACCCAUGAUACCUUUAUCUUGGAAACAUAAUGGAGCCUAUUAUGAAAAUCAAAGAAUAUAACUAUUUUAUUAAGAGAGCGUUUUAUUUAUAAUUUUUAUUAUAAUUACUUAAUUAUCAUAAAAAUUAUAUAAAAAUUUAUUGUUUAUAAAUAUAAAUUUUAUGUAAAAUUUUUAUAAAUUUUACACAACUUUAAAUUAUGUUUACUUAAUUAUAUCAUAAUUAUUAUAAGUAAUAUAUUCUCUCUACUAAACUUUGGACCAACUCCAAUAUUCUUUCUUAAUUAGCUUUUCCUUUUUAAUUUCAUAUUAUCAUAAAAAAUAAAACAUUAACUUAAUUUACAUCAGUUGUUAGUAUAUUUAUUAUUUUUAUGCUGUGUUAAUAAUUUUUUAUUUUUAAAUAUUAUUUAUGUUUUUUUUUUCUUAAUCUUUUGGUUUUUUUACAACUUAUAUAUUUUCAUGAAAAUUGAAGUUAAAAUGAUAUAUUCUCAAAAAAUUUCUGCUAACUCCCCGAACACUCCUAAACCUUUUCUCAGCUUCCUAUACGCCUCCUUUUCUCUCAAAUCAGUAGCUUUGCUCAUUGUUUGUUCUGUGUGUCCUUCAUUCUGUUCCAGAGGUCCAUUUUAUAGGGAUUGAUCAGGAGUUUCUAAUCAAUCUCAAUUUCUCCUUGGACGAAAAUUCAAUCUUUGAAUCCAAUCUAGACUCUUCUGAUGGAAUUCCCAUUCACAAUGAGAUUCUUCAACUUUCAAUCACAGCCAUCAAAAAAAGAAAACAAAAAAAUAAUAAUACUAAUCAGAUAAUCAGGAAAAAAAAUCAGAUAAAAUUAAUAGAUAAUUUAAAAAUAAUAAUAAAAAAUAAAAUAAGAUAAACCCAAAAAAAAAUAAUAAUGAUAUAAUAAUAAAUAUAUAACUAUAUAAAUAAAAUACAAAAAAAUAAAUAAAUAAAUAAAGAUAUACAUAUGUUAAUACAUAAUAAUAAUAAUAAAUAAUAAAAUACUUAAAAUACAAAAGGAAAAUAAUAAUAAUAAUACAGGAUAAAAAUUGAAUUGGGCCUUAUCCAUUCAGGCCAUGCCCAAUUGAUCUGGGCCUGGACCUAAUUAGGUGUCUACAGCAAUGACUCCAUAUCUUCUUUCAUUACUUUUAACUAGUGCUCUCUAUCCGGAGUAGCUUACACAUCUUGAAAGCUUUCUGGCUCCCCUUCACUGAUAACUAAAAUAAAAUCUAAACUUGGAUAUCUGGUAGAUGGCCUGCGCUCUCUAGUAGAUCUCCUGGACUGAGACCCUACAUCACUUGAUGUCGAAAGUAGCUCCCCCUACUUAACACUCUCAGGUAGAGAGGAUUGCUCUCCCUGUUCAAAACUAAUAGCAUCUGGCUCAUCACCAACUGUAACUGGCUCAUUCAUAUCCUCAAGUUCUGUUUCUUGCUCAUUUUUACCAUCUGUGGCUCUUUCUUGUGAAAUCUCUGUCGGUGUUGAAACAUCACACUCAACAGUAACCUGUGUAGUCUUCUUAUUUUUCUCAAAGUCUGCUAUGGUUUCUUUUUCAUGAAAGACCACAUCUCUGCUUCUAACUGUCUUUCUCUUUACUGGAUCCCAUACCCUGUAGCUAAAUUUCUCAUCAUCAUAUCCUCCAAACACACACUGUGUAACUUUACUGUCAAGCUUUGAUCUCUACUUUUUCGGCACAUACAUGAAUACUUUACACCCAAAAACUUUUAAGUGAGAGUAUGAAGUAUCUUUCCUUGUCCACACUCUUUCUGGAAUGUCAAAGCCCAAAGGAACUGAUGGUGACCUGUUAAGUAAAUAACAAGCUGUGUUGACUGCUUCACCCCAGAAUGAUUUUGGUAAUUUUAUCAUCUUUAACAUACAUCUGACUUUUUUCAUAAUGGUGCGAUUCAUUGUAUUCUUCACCAUUAUCAGUUCGAAUACACUUCAAGGAUAAUCCUGUCAUCCUCUCAAUCAUGGCAUAAAAUUUUUAAAAAUACUGCAGUACCUGACUUUUGUAUUUCAACAUAUACACCUAAGUCUUACAUGAAACAUUAUCAAUAAAAGUAACAAAAUAUCUGCUACCACCUAAUGACUCAACUUCAAUGAAACAACAUACGUCAGAAUAAAUUAAUUUCAAUAAAUUAAUUUCAAUCUAUUUUCUUUUCUUUGAGAACUUUUACGAAAAGAAACUCUAUGAUGCUUACCAAACAAACAAUAAUCACAUGAAUCGAAAGACAUACCUUUGGUCAAGGAAAUGAAAAACUGUCUUGCCAAAACCUGUAACCUUUUUUCACUCAUGUGUGCCAGCCUCCUGUGCCACAAGUUUGCUGAAGCAUCAUUUUCAACGAUAUUUACCUAGUAUCGUUCAAUUGCAUCCAUGUCUUAUACAUUAUGCAGCAUAAUUUUCUCCUUGCAACUACCAUAGAUCCUUUGAGAAGCUUUCAUUGUCCAUUCUUUUGUCGGCUUUCAUAUUCCUCCUUAUCAAGGACAUUAAUAGCUAGUAAGUUCAUUCUCAUAUCUGAAAUGUGUCUGACAUCCCUCAAAGUCAACAUGCAACCUGUACUAGUUUGUACAACAAUAUCAUCAAUCCCAAUAAUUUGUGACACACUCUUGUUUCCCAUCUUGGUACAACCAAAAUCUCCUACUUUGUAAGUUGUAAACAACUCUCUUAAAAAUAUAAUGAUAUGCCGCUCCUAUGUCAACUAUCCACUCAACGUCGGGAUCACUAACAUGAUUACAAUCACCAUGUGUACAAAUUAAAGUAACUGAAUCAUUAUUUGAAUUCGUUGCUGUAACAUUGUCAUCAUCUGAACUCUUAUCUUUCUUAUCUUUUCGCUCUUGCUUUAAGAUUCUACAGUUUCGUUUUAUAUGACCUGCCUUACCACAAUGAAAACACUUUACUUUACCUCUAGACUUGGAUCUAUGUUUAAACUUACCACGACCUUUUGAGUCCUGGCCUCUGUCGAUAUUUUUAUCCCUGUUCUCUGUGACUAAAGCUUGAUUUUCAAGAUCUACAUCUUUUCAUCUUACUUCUUCAUUAAGCAUACUAUUUUUUAUCAUCUCCAACGUCACCUUAUAAUCAGGAGCUGAAUUGAGAACAGUCACAACUAGAGUAUUCCAGCUGUCUGACAAUGAACUCAAAAAAAAUAACACCUUCAUUUCAUCAUCUAUCUUAAGCUCUAUAGUAAUCAUCCGAUUAAAUAUAUCUUAAAAAUUACUCAAGUACUCUAUCCCUGUAUUAUAAAAUUAUAAGCUUUUUAAUAAACAUAACUUUAUUCAUACCUAUUUUUCUCUUAUAAAAUACUGUCAAUUUUUUUCAAAUAAUGUGAGCAUCUGAUUCCUGCGUUACAUGAUGAAAAUAUGCUGAUAUUAACCCAUUUUUUGAUUGUAACCAACAUCUUUCUACCUAACUUCUUUCAACUUUCAUCUUUCAUAUCUGCUAGUUUAACCGAAUCAUCCAAUACUGACUCAUACAAAUCUUUACAGUAUAGAUGAUCUUCCAUCAUAAACUUUCAAAUUGAAUAAUUCAAUGCUGUCAAUUUUAUCAUGAAACAUGUAUCACCAUCCAUUAUCUCAAACAAAAUUUACUUCUAUUCUGGGUUACUUUUGUAUCGAUGUCUCAAAAUAACCCUUGCUCUGAUACCACUUGUUGCGCCUGAAGCAAUAAUUACAACAAUACAAAAAUAAUAAAUAACAAUCAAUAAUCAAAUACGCAAGAAAAAUAAAACACACCAAGAUUUAGUGAAAAAUCCUUCAGUGUAGAAAAAAAAAAUCACAGACCACCAGAAAAAUCUUCACUAUCAAAUAAUAGUUAUACAAAGUUCUUUUCUAGCUAAAACUAAAACUAAUCAAUAACUAGAAAAACAAUUAGAGAAAUCUCACCAAAUAAGUGACUCAACAAAUAUACCCUGAAUUUAUUCCUAAAGAGCUUCAAACCCGUUAUUCACUGUUCAAAAUGUAAAACUCUGAAUCAUAAAUCUCUUGACAAGAUUCUAACUCAAUCGAAACACGGAUCGAGUUCUGUUCAACCAACUCUCCCUUCUCUUUUUUCUCUCUAUUUUUUUUUACUUUUUUUUUUCUACUUGAUUUUCGACACAUACCUAAAACAAUCCCACCACUUUUUUAUUAAGUAACUAUGGUUCUAUGUAAAAUAAAAGAUCAAAACCCAUGACCUUUACUUGAUCCAAAACUACUUACAUGAGAUUGAAUCUCAUUUUCCUAACAUGAUAACCAUCCCACCACUUGUGCCCUAAAAUCAAAUGUGCCCUCAAAUUUAAGUUACUAGAUCAUUUUAAAUUUACCAUAACAUUAAUCAUAUUGGUCAUACGAAUGAAAUAACAUAAAAUUAUUGGAAUUCCAUUCUGAUUUUCCUUUAUUUUUUGAAUUUUAUUGUAAAAAAUAUUAUUAUCAACUUUUGAGAAGGUGAAUGUGGUAAUACUUUUGACAUUUACCAAAGUUUGGUAGCUUAGCUGUGGACUAUCUUAGGCACUUUCCUGUUAAAAACUUUGAAUUAUUGUUUGGCUGUUAGGAAAAGUAGUAGAGAUUCCACAUGUUUUGUUCUUUUCCCUCUUUUUCCCGACAAACAACCGAAGCCAUCAAAUAUCAAAAUUAAACUGUUUUUUCACUUUACAAGGCCAAGAUUCAAUGGACACUCAUCUUCUUCAAUUCCAAAUUAAUAUUCAACAAUUGAAAGAAAAAAAAAACCCUAAAAACAAGAAAUUAAUUUCACUGAAAAAUAAAUUAACUGAUGCAUAUGCAAAUGCAUGCUCACUUCUUGAUUUCAUUAUUAAUCAAAUGAACUUUCAUUCUAAAGAAAUGAAAUGGAAAAAAAAAAACAAACAAAAAGACGGAAAAAAAAACAAAUAUUGAGAAACAAGAUAACCAAGAAAAGAUAUGGGUAGCUUACUUUGCAGGGGGCUUUGCAGGGUCAGUACAUAGAGGAGCAACAGAGCUCUUCUCCUUCAUCUUCUCAGUUUCGUUCGCCAUCGCCUCCUUAGUUGUUGAAAGGUUAAGCUUCAAAUCAACAGUCUCCAAAAACCCUCUUUUUCCAUUAUUUUUGGUCGUUUCGCCAUCAUUUCCAUUGCCUCCGGGCAACCCCCGGAGAUCUUUGGUUCAGGAUAAUUGCCAGAAGAUGUGGCUUUAACAAGCGAAAUAAUUAAUAUUUUAAUAAAAAUAUGAUAUAAAAUAAAACUAAAAAAAAAAAACAAAAAGUAGUAUCUCAAAACAGUGAAUCCAUUGAAAAAGAAAAUAUGUAAAAAAAAAUAAUAAAAUGCCAAUGGUGAAAAAAAGUGGAUCCUACUUUCUAAAAUAUUUUAUAAUUAAAUAUAAAAAUUAAAAUUAAAAAAAAUCAUGACUCCUCCGAUUGAAAAUUUUUUAUAAAAAAAAUAAAAUAAAUAGAUAAAAAUAAAAAUAAAUUAAAAAAUCUACAGGUGCAAUUAAACAGUGCUAUCAACAACUGUAAUGUUUAUUUAUUUUAUUGUCAUUAUUCAUUGGUACUUGAUUGGCAUGUUUCAUUGAAAUUAUUAUCCGUGACAACAAGCACUGUCAAACAACUGUAAAGUUUAUUUAUUUAAUUGACAUGAUUCAUUGAAAUUAUUGUCCUGAUACUGUUAAACAGUACUAUAAAACAAUUGUAAAAUUUAUUUAUUUGGUUGUUACGAUUCAUUGAAAUUAUUAUUUUUAUUAGGAUUUAAACGAAUCGAGUUGAGUCGAAAUAAUAAUAAGUUUGAAUUCGAUUCAUAAUUUGGAGUUCGAUUCAUAAUUUGAAGUUCGAUACUCGAUUCAAGUUUGAUCGAAUUUUACUUUUUAAAUUCGAGUUUAAUUCGUAAUCGAAUUCGAGUUAUUCUCAUUCGCUCUGAGUUAAAGAGAGAAGGGAAAGAAAAAAUAAGAAAAAAACAGAAAUAGGCUUUUUAUAGGCCUUUCAAAACGAUGUCGUUUUGGAUGUUUGAACCGAGUUCGACCCGCGCAUGAUCUGCGCGCUGACUCGAGCGUCAACCCGACCCGUUUCGCAGGAUUUCCUUUUUAUUUUUCUUUUUAUUUUCUAUUUUAAUUUUGAUUAUAUUUAUUUUGUAUUGAUUUUUAUGUUGAUUUUUUUAUUUUUUUAUUUUUUCAUGAUAUUAUUGUUAUUAUUAUUAUUGUUAUUUUAUAUUAAUAAUUCUUAAAAUAAAAAUAAAACUAAAAUAAUAUAAGGACUUAAAAAUAUAAUAUAAAAAAUUUAGUAAUAACUUUUUUAAUGAAAAUAAAAUUUUUAUUACAAGCAAAAAUAUUAUUUAAAUUUCACCAAAGUGUUUGGAUAAUUUUAAAAAAAAUAAUUUUUGCUAAAAAAAUAAAUUAUAAAAAAUGAUAAAUAAAAUAAAAAUAAAUUGUUUAAAUAAAUCUUUUAAAUGUAAUUUUAAAGAAAGCUAAAAGUGUUUAGUUUUCUUUAAUUAUUACAAGUAAAAAUAAUUUUUUUGAAUUUCACCAUAGAGUUGAGAUAAUUCAAAAUUAUUUUUAAUAAAAUAAAGAUUGAUUUAGACAAUGUAAAACAAUAAUAAAAAUGAAAAUAAAAAAUAAUAACAAUUAAUAUUUUGAAUUUUUUAAAAAAGAAAUAAAAAUUAAAAGAGUUCGAUUUUCUUUAAUACGAGUAAGAUAUAAAUAUUUAGAUUUCUCUAGUGAAGGAUAAUCUAAUUUCUUUUUUAUAAUAAAAAUAAUUAAUAAAUAAUAAAAAGUUUUUUUAAAUAAUCAUAAUAAAAAUUAAUUAAUAAAUUCCUUUAAUUAUAAAAAAAAUGAUUUUAUUUAAAAUCUUGUCAAAAGGUUGAGAUGAUUCUAAAAUUUAUUCAAAACUUUUAGGAUUUCACCGAAGAGUCAGGAUAAUCUUAAAACUUGCUUAAUAAAUUUUAGGAACUCACCAAAGAAUCAGGAUGUUCUUGAAAUCAUUUUCGAAAUAAAUAAAUAAAAUAUCUUAUGACGAGAUUUCAAAAAUUUUGUAAAUGAUCAAUUUUCUCAAAAUAUUUUUUAAAUAAUAAUUUUCUAUAAAUUCCACCAAAGCGUUGAAGAAUUUAUAGAAUACGUAAUAACAAUAAUAAUGUUGAUUUCAUAAUAAAAAUAUUUUUUUAAAAAAUAAAUUUUAAGAAAUUAAAUUUAAAUAAAAAAAUUAUAUUACCAAAAUUAAAGGAUUAUACAUAUUUAAGUGGUACCGUUCUUUGAACGGACGAUGUGAAGGUGGUAAUACAUUUCUCAUUCAUAAUCGUAUUUUCGGAUUUAAUCAUGAUUUCGUAAAUCUAAACUUUUUUAGUAAAAUAUUAAUUAAUUUUAAAAUUUUUAUGAAAAAAUAAUAUUUUAAGUGAUCAAUCAUACCUUAUAAAAAAUUAAUGACGAUUUUAAAAUUUUUUUUAUCAAAUCUAACGUUUGAAUCUUCCGAACGAAAAUCAUUACGACAUGAAUAAGUUUAUGAAUGUCAAAUACUUAAUUUUGAUUGAUAAAAGAAUAAAAACAAUAUAUAAUGUUCAAAGAAUUUUGUCGAAUUAAUAUGAACUAAGUCUUUGCCUAUAUAUAUUUUAUUUAUAAAAUAUAUUUUUGAUUAUUCAAUUUACAUUUAUUAAUAAAAACAUAAAUAUUCAUAAAAAAUAUUCCUAUAAUAAAACGCGAGACACAUUCUAGAAUUUAUUAAAAGGGACUUGCCUUCUCAAGAAGCGAAACGAAUUUUAAAUUAUUAAGUUGAUUCAUUUAAUGACAUUUAAAAAAUAAUAUCAAAUAGGUUUAGGUUUUAAAUUCAAGUACUUACAAUUUUUUUUUUAUGUUUUUUUACAUAAAAAUAAAAAUAAAAUACGCUAAGCUUCCGUUUGGGUAGGAAAAAAAAAUCUUUGGAUAAGGACAAUUGCCCCUCACAUGGCCCUAACAGGCGAAACAAGUGAGCAUGUUUUUCAUGCAUGAAAGUCCGGACACCGUUGCCCUUAAGUCUUGGUGAAAAGUCUCUGUCCAAGUUGCAUGGAAAGCUCCAACUGAUUUUUUUUGUUUUUUUGUCCACCAAAUAAAGAUUCUCUGAUUUCUUAAGUCUUUCUCAACCCAGUGGGGCUAAAAAAACCCAACACUGUAAUUUAAUGUUAGAACCUACUUGAAAGGAAAAAGAAAGGGCGAUCUUUGGUUCAGGAUAAUUGCCAGAAGUGGCUUUAACAAGAGAAAUAAUUUAAUAUUUUAAUAAAAAUAUAUAUAAAAAAUAAAACUGAAAAAAAAAAACAAAAAGUAGUAUCUCAAAACAGUGAAUCCAUUGAAAAAGAAAAUAUGUAAAAAAUAAUAAUAAAAUGUCAAUGGUGAAAAAAAGUUGAUCCUACUUUCUAAAAUAUUUUAUAAUUAAAUAUAAAAAUUAAAAUUAAAAAAAAUCAUGACUCUUCCGAUUGAAAAUAUUUUAUAAAAAAAUAAAAUAAAUAGAUAAAAAAAUAAAAAAAAAUCUACAGGUGCAAUUAAACAGUACUAUCAACAACUGUAAUGUUUAUUUAUUUUAUUGUCAUUAUUCAUUGGUACUUGAUUGGCAUGUUUCAUUGAAAUUCUUAUCCGUGACAACAAACACUGUCAAACAGCUGUAAAGUUUAUUUAUUUAAUUGACAUGAUUCAUUGAAAUUAUUGUCCUGAUACUGUUAAACAGUACUAUGAAACAAUUGUAAAAUUUAUUUAUUUGGUUGUUACGAUCCAUUGAAAUUAUUAUUUUUGAUUAAAGGUAUAAUUAAAUCGAAUCGAAUAAUAAUAAGUUUAAGUUUGAUUCAUAAUUUGAGAUUCGAUAUUCGAUUUGAAUUUGGUAAAAUUUUAUUUUUUAAGUUCGAGUUCAAUACGCGAUUAAAUUUGAAUUAUUUUCGUUCGUUCGAUUAAUCUCGAUUAAUAUGUAAAAAUAAAUUCGAUUCAUAUAUUUUAUAAGAGUUCGAUUAUUCAUGCUCGAAUUCGAAAUAUUUUAUUAAUUAAAAUAAUAAAAAUAUAUUUAAAUAUAAAAAUUCGAUUAAGCUCACGAGUUACUCGAGUCGAAUAUAAAAAUACUCGAAUUCGGUUCGAUCGAUAAGUUGAACUAUUCGAAUUUGAACUCGACUCAAAAAUAAUCUAAUCGAAUUCAAACUUUUUUUGAAAUUAAAUUCAAAUAAUUUAUUAAUAUUAAUAUAUCAUUUAUAUUUUUAUUUCUAACAAAAAAUACAGUUUGGUAAUUAUAAAAUUUAUUUACUUGAUUGACAUGAUUCAUUAAAAUUAUUGGCCUGAUGCUAUUAAAUAGUACUGUUCAACAGCUGUAAAGUUUAUUUGUUUGAUUGUUAUGAUUCAUUGAAAUUCUUGUCCUGAUGUUAGUAAAAGUCAAACAAUUAUAAAAUUUAUUUGUUUGAUUGUCAUGAUUCAUUCAAAUUGUUGUCCUGAAGCUAUUAAAUAAUACUGUCAAACAGCUGUAAAAUUUAUUUGUUUGAUUGUGACGAUUCAUUGAAAUUAUUAUUCUGACAAUAAAUACUGUCAAACAGUUGUAAAAUUUAUUUUUUUGAUUGUCAUGAUUCAUCGAAAUUAUUGUUCCGAUACUGUUAAACAGUACAGUACUAUGAAACAACUGUAAAAUUUAUUUAUUUGAUUAUCACGAUUCAUUAAAAUUAUUAUCCCUGACAAUAAAUACUGUUAAAUAAUUAUAAAAUUUAUUUAUUUGAUUGACUUGAUUCAUUGAAAUUAUUGUCCUGAUGCUAUUAAAGUCAAACAGGUGUAAAAUUUAUUUAUUUGAUUGCCAUGAUUAGUUGAAAUUAUUAUCCUUACCAUAAAUACUGUCAAACAGCUGUAAAUUUUAUUUAUUUGGUAGACACAAUUCAUUGAAAUUAUUAUCCUGGUGCUGUCAACAGCUUGUAAUAUUUAUAUAUAUUUGAUUGAUACGAUUCAUUCAAGUUAUUGUCCUUCAAGACAAGUGCUGUAAACAAUAUUUAUAUACUUAGAUUCAAUAAAUCUGAUUUCAUAUAAUAAUUUAAAGCAAAUUUGGCAGGUUUUGGAAAGGCAAAAUUAUUAAUCUGCAUUUGGCAGUGUUUGGUGGAAGAUAAUGUUUUUAAUUAAAAACACAAAAAAAAAAAAAAAGUAUUCAUACCAGCAAAAUUUUGUCUAACAAAAAGUAAGCGAACUUUUUGUUUAUAUGCGGCCUUGUUCCUCAUCUUUGUAUUAACUCUUUUCCUCUUUGAGAAAACUUUCUAUUAACUCUUAAAUCAAUGCGGAUGGAUAUCCAUUAUCAAUGAAACUUAAGCGAUUAUACUUAAUUUUAAAGUGAUUAAUUAGUAAUGUAUGUAAAAAUUAAUCAAUGUCUGAAAUGUUAAUAAAUUUAGAUUAAAAAAUAUAAUAAUUGAAAAUUAAUUAAUUUCAGUACCCUCCUUUCAAUCAGGCACCCAUGAUACCCUUAUCUUGGAAACAUAAUGGAGCCUAUUAUGAAAAUCAAAGAAUAUAGCUAUUUUAUUAAGAGAGCGUUUUAUUUAUAAUUUUUAUUAUAAUUUUAUAAUUACUUAAUUAUCAUAAAAAUUAUAUAAAAAUUUAUUGUUUAUAAAUAUAAAUUUUAUGUAAAAUUUUUAUAAAUUUUACACAACUUUAAAUUAUGUUUACUUUAUUAUAUCAUAAUUAUUAUAAGUAAUAUAUUCUCUCUACUAAACUUUGGACCAACUCCAAUAUUUUUUCUUAAUUAGCUUUUCUUUUUUAAUUUCAUAUUAUCAUAAAAAUAAAACAUUAACUUAAUUUACAUCAGUUGUUAGUAUAUUUAUUAUUUUUAUGCUGUGUUAAUAAUUUUUUAUUUUUAAAUAUUAUUUAUGUUGUUUUUUUUUUCUUAAUCUUUUGGAUUUUUUACAACUUAUAUAUUUUCAUGAAAUUUGAAGUUAAAUACAUUGAUAAUAUAUUAUAUAUUUAAAUUUAUAUAUAAUAUAUUAUCAAUGUAUAAUAUUUUACAGGUUGAUAAAUGACAUAAUAAAAUGUUAUUAAAAAUUAAUUUUAAAUAUGCAGUUAAGGAUAAAGCAUAUUUGUUUUUUAUUUUAAAAUUAAAUUUUUAUAAAAUAUUAUUAUAUGUUAAUUGACAAUGAUAAUACAAGAAAUAUAAAUUCUAUAUAUAUCUUAUCUUUCACUAUGUUUAUAACAAUUACAUCCUAUAAAUACAUUAAUUUCUUAAAAUGACAACGGGUUAAAUGCAGAGCAAAGGAAUAAAUAAAAUAAAAUAAAAUAAAAAGAAAAUGAAGUGUUAUUGGUCAGAUGAUACACAUGUCUCACAUAAUCACAUGCAGUCUCCAUCAUCCUACUCCUAAGGACAAAGAAAUUUUGGAUAUAAAUAGGUAACGUAGGUGGUUGUGGUAAGUAGGUGGAUGUUGUAAGCAAGCACAAGAGUGACAAACACCAAGAGAGCAAAUUCAAAGAUUUAGCGAAACAUGGCUUUGGCCUUAACAUUGGCAUUGCCAAGGUAUAUCGUCCUCAAAUCCAAUGACAAGAGCGAUUACUUGGGCUACAUCCGUGAUGAUGGGGAGUCUAAUGGGUAUAUCCGCUUCAUGGAAACUGAGGCUGUGAGUCCAUAUGCAAGAUUUGAAGUGGAGACUGCUAGCACUAAUGGCUUGGUGCACAUAAGGAGCUGUCAAAACAAUAAAUAUUGGGUACGAACCAAAAAUCUUUCCAUCACUGGAAAACCAGCGGAGCAAUACUGGAUUACUGCAACCGCCGUCAAGCCGGAGGAAGACCAAUCCAAGGAGUCGUGCACAUUGUUCAAGACUAUCUCUGUAGACCCUGCAACAAAUACGGUUCGAAUUAUGCACGUCCAAUCAGGAUGCUAUUUAUGCUUAUGGGGGUUAAACAAUAAAAAAUUUGAUCGCUGCGUGUUGGCAAAUUACAAAGUUUAUGAUCAUAACAGCCUUGAUAUCUUCACAAUUAUUGAUUGGCAGUCGCUGGUGAUUCUCCCUAGAUACGUGGCAUUCAAAGGAAAUAAUGGUGAGUAUCUGUGUCUUCGUCAGAUUCAGGGUUACCCAUAUUUGCAGUUUUCAACUAAUGAUAUUGGUGAUUCAACCGUGCCAUGCGAGGUUUUCAACACUAAUGAUGGAAAUGUCCGCAUCAAGACCAUUUCUUCCGAUAAAUUUUGGAGGCGCAGCCCAAAUUGGAUUUGGGCGGACUCUAAUGACAUCAGUAGCAACAACAAGGACACCGUGUUUCGCCCCGUAAUAGUUAACAAUACGACAAUUGGUCUUCUUAACUUGGGCAACAAUAACUUCUGCAAGCGCCUCACAACCGAGGGAAAGACUAACUGCCUUAAUGCAGCAGUCCCCAGUGUUACCAAAGAGGCCCAGCUAACGGUGGAGGAGCCUGUCUUGACAAGGGACAUUUAUAAUGUCAAAUAUGGUUUUGAUAAUUCUAGGGUCUACGACGAAAGAGUCCUCCUUGUUGCCAAGAAUACUGCAGAUAACCAUACCCAGCAAUCUAGCACUUUAGACGUGAAGCUUUCCUACACAGAUACCAAGACUAGUUCGUGGAAGACUAUGUUUUCGCUAAAGUUAGGUAUGAAAACCAACAUCGUCAUGGGCGUUCCACUCAUUUUUGAGGGAAAAGUUGAAUUAUCCGGUGAAGUUCAAUCAGCUACCGAGUGGGGAGAGACCACGACAUCAACCGCUAUUGUGGAAGUUGUACACAAAGUUACUGUGCCUCCAAUGACUAAGGUGACGGUAUAUCUAAUUGCAACAAAUGGUACGUGUGAUGUUCCCUUCACAUUCAUGCAAAGAGACACUCUUUAUAAUGGAGCCACUGUUACGACUGAAGUGCAAGGCGGCACCUUUACUGGUUCUAAUUACUACAACUUCCACUUUGAAACCAAAGAAGAGAAGAUCACGAACUGAGAAAAUACUCAAAACUCCUCUUGGGCACAAUUUGGGAAUUACAAGGAUUGUACGUGCUACGUCUGUGUGUGUGUGUGGCUGUAUCCACUAAAUAAAAUUGUGUUUCCUUGGUGGAAGCAAUGCUUUUUAUCUUAUUAUUAAACUACAAUAAACAUGUAAGCUGCAUGCAUAGCCCUGUGGCAUAUCAUGUACUUUAAUUUGAGAAAAAAUAAAUCUACGUGUGGUGUUAUUUUAUGUGAUUUGGAUA